UUUUCGUAACUUAACUAUUCCGUUCAAUGAAUCAUUUGCCUAUUAUUUAAAAUAAUAUAUAUGAGGUGCACAUCGCUGAUGGGAAGCUGUCUACAUUAUUUAGCUAUUUAAAGGCCUAGUUCCAUUGAGAGAGUCAUUGCCUCCAUCCAUCUUUAAUUUUCUAAGUUACUUUGCCUUGCCUUGGCUUCUUCUAUUCAUCUUGUUCGCAGAAAAUGGCCUACUCUCUCCCUGAAAACUGGAGAUGCAUGAAUGCCGAUCACAUGUUUGAAGGAAUUGAAGAGAUUUCAGAAAUCAGCACAGCCCUUCUCAUGUCAUUGCUCGAUGAAUCACAAGGCGAUCAAGAGGCUGACAAUGAUCGAUUGACCAGUAUGAUCCAAUCGCUAGAAGAAGAGAUCCAUCAUCAUGAGGUGACCAUCAGUCCACAGGAGUAUGAUCAUCAGUUGAAGGGUCAGGAUGGCUUGGCUUCAGUUGAUACGGAAUUUGAUUGGAUUGAUAUGGAGGUGAUGCCAUCUUAUACUAAUAUCACCAACUGCUACAUGGACCUUUGUGAUGAUGAUCUGGAAAUGGAUGGCAUAAUCCAAUAUUCUCAACUCAAUUGGGAUAGUACUGUUUCCUUGGAAGAGCAUGGGUGUAAUUCUUUGUGGCUGCAAACAUAUGACUCUGGGAUGUAUAAUUAAAGGUGUUGUACGUGUAAAUCUUAGUUGUAAAAGCCUCUGGAGGGCACAAUGAAUUAUAGAUAAUGGCCAUAUUUGUUCACCACCACAUCUUGUCUCUUCACUCUAUCUAUUAGUAGUGUGAGAAGAAACUGUGAGUCUCUUUGCUGGUUUGAUUUAUAGAUAAUUUUCUAUUUUUAGAAACAAGGGUUAUUUGAUUAAAAGGCUCAUCAAAAGGCUAGCUAAUUUUGUAAAUUUAACCCUUUAUAAUUUUUUUUAUCAUAUUUUAACUAAAAUGCCCUCAUUCUUUUCUUAUAAAGAUAAUAUUUUCUUGUAAAACCUACAUAAAAAUACUUGAAAUAGUUAAGGAUAUUUAUAUCAUAAUUGAGUUACUCUUCAAUUAAGGAAAAACAUGGAAGAAGUUAAAAUCACAAAUAUGAGGAUUAUCUCAUUUAUUUUAACCAAUUAAUUAUAGAAACAAUUAAUAAAACAUUGUCUUAGUUUUUUUUUAGUAUUAUUUUACUAUUGUUAUAUGAAAAUAGUUUUUAAAAGUAAAGUAAAAUAGAAAACAAUUUGUUUCUUGGUUUAUAAAAAUAAAUGGAAAAGUUUAAUAAAUAAAAAAUAAUUUUAAAAAGCUAUAAAAAAGAAAUAAUGUAGAGUACAAUUUUUUUCUUGUUCAUUUUUUUUCCAUUAGCUAAUAUUGUAAAUCUCAAAUAUGAUCAGUCUCUCUUUAAAUUAUGUAUUUUUUUUUUUAAAAUUUCAUAAUUUUUUUAACAUUUUUCAAUAGAUUUUAAAUUAAAGUAAUGUAUAUAGAUUCGCUAAUUUUAAAAAAUAAUUUAAAAAUAAAAAAUAAUCUAAUUAAUACUAGAAUGUUACUUUAACUCAUAAUUGGUCUAAUUAAUAUUAAAAAGUCAUAAUGAACUAAAACUCAUCCUUAAUGAAUUUGUUAUAUAUAUAUAUAUAUAUAUAGAAUUUAUGAAGAUAUUUUUACUAUAUUUCCUUAUUCUAUAAGAAAUCUAAUGAUAACCUCAAAUGAAAUUAGAAAAUAUUCUAUAUCAUAUUCAUUCUAUUAAAAGAAAUAAAUUCCAAUUAAAAAUUUGAAACAUUUCUCAACAAUUCGCACCUUGAAUCGAAUUCUGUUAAAGUCAAUCUUCCAUCUCUCUAUGAUAUAUGAUUUCCUGUAGCGUCUCGCUCUCCUAGUGUGUCAUAGUUCUCUUCAUGCACCAAAGUCUUAUUGUGCACCAUGAUCCUCUUGUUUAUUGCAUCACAUUCCAAUGAGAGAAUACAUAAUUGAUUCUACCUUAACUAAAAAUUCCCUUUUGAAGUCCUUUCCUAUGUGUUGUUCUUUUUUUCUCUUUUUAAAAUCUUCAAAUAAAUCUCAACAAACAUCUUCAACCAAGAAUCUUCUAAACAUCUUUAAUCAAGAUUCUUCUGAGCAUUUUCAACCAAAAUUCUUAUAGACAUAUUUAACCAAGACUCUUUAAAACAUCUUCAACCAAGGCUCUCAUAUCACAUGUCUAAUUAUUGUGUUUGCUUCUUCCAUGAAAAACUAGAUUGGCCAAUGUGACUAUUGAUUCAUUAUCACCAUAAAUCUUUGUGGGAACUUUUUAAGUAUGCUUUAAGUCAAAAAGCAUUCAAUGCAACUACAUUGCUUGAGUAGUACCACUAGUAGUUGCAAUAUACUCAACUUCUACUAUUGACAAAACAACUACUUAUUGUUUCUUUGAUAAGGAAAAACAACCAAAAAAAAAAAAAAAAAAUUUUGAACUAGAAUAAAAUGCAUAAGUACUUGAAGUACUUUUUGGAUUUUUCUACAUCACCUCACCAAUUUGUUAAUAAUCAUGUUAAUAAUCUUCGGAUUACCUUUUGAAAAAUCCUAGAUCCAAUAAUAAAUUGUUUCAGCUUUCAAAUUUUCACUCUAGGUCAUGAAUGGAACCACAGUCAAAAUGGGAACCACUUCGUUUCACAACACAAAUACCUUUCACCUUCUCUUUAGAGAACUUUUUAUUCUUAAGUUCUUUGUGUCUUUUUUUCAAGGAAAAUAAAAUUGAUCCAAAGAGUUUUUGAGAGAGAGCGAGAUAAAGAUAUUUUUUUAAAAAAUUUGUAUAUAUUUAGUGGGGUGGUUUCUAGGCAGUUUCUGGGAGUUCUAACUCCCAGAAACUGCUCCCCCCUAGAUCUCUAAUUUGUUGGAUCGAGUUGGGUUAGCCCGACUUGGGCACCCACCCAACUCCAAAUCUCUCACUUGCAUAAGAUGGGUUGAUAUAAUCAAUCGAUAAUCAUCCAAGUCCAUUCUCUCAACUUUUUGAAGGUGAUUCAUACAGGUAAAUGAGCCAUGUGACCAUGCAAGCACAUUUGCAAUUUGGGAGCUUAUAAAGUUAUGUACCUAUUAGGGAUACAUAAUAGCUUAACCCCAAAAUUAUGAGUGAACAAUUAUAAUCAUGUCUCAUUGUACCCCAAGUUUAUUUAGUCACAUUUUAAUGUAUGCACUUAAUCCCUCAAAGCUACAUACUAUACAACAUUACAAAUGUAUUCACAAUUAUAUUAGCUACAAAAGCAAUAUAACCGAUCGAUUGUGAAUGCAUCUUUAUCAAUGUAACUAAAAAAAAAAAGUCUUUCUUUUAAGUUCAUGUCUUUUAGAUUCAAAUUAAUUGCUUACCCAAUAUGUCUCAUAAGGAUAAAUUAUUUUAUUUCCGUUGGAAACAUACCAAAGUAGCAACAUUAAUUUGUCACCUCCAAACAUAACCAAAAGUACAAAGAGUACAAUAGUGGGCUAUUAUAAUUGUAAUAAGCCCUAAGGAUCUCACACACAGUGAAAAUGUAGGGAUUAAUCACUCACUUUCCUUAUUAGUCACUUUCAAGCACAUGUAGUAUGAAAUACAUGCUAUGGUGGUUUCUUUUCACUUUGAGAGUAUGUCAAAUUACCACCAUAUAGACAUCAACUAAGAGUUUGCUUGAGUUUCACAUUUAUAGUUCUCUUCAAACCUUUUAUGCUAAAAAUCAAGUCUGAUUCAAACAUGCAAAUGUAAGUGUGGGCGAUUACAUUCAAUCAAGAUGUCAUUAAUUAUAGACCUCAUCUUGAUACUUAAUCAAGGUGCCACUCAUUAUCUUUGUAUACUUUUUACUCAUUUAUCAUCAUCAGUAUACCAUGUCUUAUCCCAACUUACAAACACAUUGAUUGGGAUGGUUGCUCGUGUGAGAGAGCCAACCUUUUCUUGUUGACAUACAUUUAAGAGCAUAUAUGUAUAAGUACUAUUUACAUAUUCAAUGGUAUGAAUAACAAAUACUCAUCUCAUUUGAUCAUUUAUAGAGUAUCUUAUAUCCAAUCAAUAAUGAUCCAUGUCAUAUAAUCAACAUAAAUUAUAACCUACGCAGUCCUAAUGACUUUACACGUGCAGAAAACAUGUCUCUAGAAAUGGAUUUUGUGAAAGGAUCAACAACCAUCUCACGUGUAGGUAAAUAUUUCAUGAUCACAUCCUUUCAUGCAAUAAUAUCUCUUAUAAAACUAUUCUUGGUAUCUAUAUGCUUAGAUCUUCCAUGAUAUUUUGGGUCCUUUACAUAAGCGAUCUUAGCUUGUUUGUCGUUAUAGAUUGUUGUUGGCCCAAAAACAUCCUUGAUUAUUCCCAAGCUUUUCAAAAAUCUUUUUAACCAUACAACUUCCUGUAUUGCAGUUAAAGAAGCAAUAAAUUGAGUUUUCAUGGUUGACAAAACUAUACAAGUCUGUUUCUUGCUUUUCCAUGAAAUAACACCAUCGUUAAGCAAGAAUAUAUAUCCAGAUGUUGAUUUGCACUCAUCUAGAUCACCUGCCCAAUUGACAUCUGAAUAACCCACCAAAAACAAUUAUUUACCUUGAUAACAAAGGGAAUAGUCUUUAGUGCCUUUUAGAUACCUGAGAAUUCUCUUCACUGCUUUCCAAUGCAUCAUUCUAGGAUUUGCUUGGUAAUGACUAGCCAUUCCAAUAGUAUAGCAGAUGUCUUGUCUUAUGCAUAUCUUAUUGGAGCCAAAAUAUGUACUCUAAUGGCACAUAUUCGAUAUGAUUUGUUCACCAAAUGACACUCAAAUCACCCAACUUGACCUAAAUUGAAUCUUAGGCCCUAGCCAUGAGUUUAAAUUCUAUUUUAGAGAUUUAUCUCAAGUUCUAGGGAAGAAAAAGGUGCAAGUUGAAUCGCUUUAGAUUUUGAAAGAUUAAGAAAGGGUUAAAUGAGGAAAUAAAUGAGUCAAGACUCAUGGACCAUGAGGAAAAUCAAGACGAGGAUAUCAUGAGUUUGGAAGGUGAGAAAUAAUCAUUUUGGAUUAAGAAAGAAGGUAAUAAAACAUUGGAAAUGAGGCAUGAAGCAAGAUUUAGUUGCAUGGAAAUUUAGAACUCAAAAUCUAAUGACAACAUAUACUCUGACUUUGAGGACAAAUUUUGAGCACUUUCCAAAGUCCAUUUUAUACAUACUAUAUAUCAUUUUGAAGCCUGGGAAGUUAAGAGUCUAAUGCUUUAAAUAGUGUGCAAAUCAAAGUUGAAAUGAAGAAGUUAUGACUAUUUGAAGACAACUACACAAAGCUAAAGGGCCAUUUCGAAAUCAUUUCAAAAUUCAACUUAUGAAUUCGAAAUCCAAUUUGAAAUGACCCCGAUUUUGAAUUUACACAAUGCUAAUUUGAUGUUUCACCUCCUUUACCUCGGGUAUUGCAUCUAGAGCACUCCAUCUGCCCUAAGUGAACCCUAUAUGACUAGAAAUCACUAUUUUAUUAUUAUUUUUAAUCAUUUUUAGGUAAUUAUUUUUGUAAUAAAUGGCCAAUGAGAGUGUGCCACAUGUUAGGUAAUUGAUGAUAUUAUAUAAUCUCUCUUAGUUCUAGGUUUAGAAAUCUUGGAUCUUUUUCCAGAGAGUUUGACAUUAAAUGUGGAAGAAGACGAGAACUUUGAUUUGUUUUCUUUUCCUUCUUUAUUAAAUAUAUUGUUUUUAGUUUUUAUUUAUUUAUUCAAAUUAUGGAUUUUUUUUACCUUAUUAUGGAUUAUGAAUGUGAAAUCACCCCCAUGAGAGGCUAAGAAGCCAACUUGGGGCUUGAAGCAAGAAAAGCUAAGGGCUAGGAAACCUAUAGAGACAAUGGGUAAAUUAUUAUAACAAUGAAAUUAAUUAUUUUUGGGUGGCAAUUUAUCAAUUUUUUUAUCCUAUCCUUGUGAGUUAGUUUAGGGAAUGAUAUGGUAGGUUAUUACCCGAUACUAGUGAUUCUUGGUAAUUCUUGAUCAUUAGUUAUCCUUGUCUUUCCUAUCGUUAUUUGCCCCAAAACAAAGCUAUAAGGAGUAGGAAGGGUUAAAAAGCCAAAUCUUAAAUUGAUAAUCAAUCUUAUUCAUUUGAUGAUUUUAGGAAUCUAUUUUAAAAAGGAAAAAUUAGGUUUCGGAUGCAAUUUCAAGUUAUAGAAUUCAAGUUGAUCGCGAGCGACCAAGGAUCCCAAAACCCUAAGAUCACUUUACUUAAGAAACCCUUGUUCUCUCUAUUUCUAUACCUUAAGUUGGAUUGUGGAAAACCCCAAACUUGAAUAAAUCGAAUUUAAAAUCAAUAUUCAUUUUGUUAUUAAUUUAAUUUCUUUUACGUAGUUUCACAUUAUUCACUUUAAGAUUUAAACAAAAAUAAUUAAUUUAUUAUAGUAUUAACAAUUUCCAUAAGCCAGUCCUUAAGGAUAAUACCCGGAGUUUUACAAAAGUGGUAGUGACUCUUUUUCUAGUUUUUCUUGACUAGAGUUGUUAUGUAAAAAGGUUAAGUGUUUUGGUACAAGUUGUGAAUUUAUCAUCUAUUUGCAAGGAACCUAUGACUUGGAUCUUCCAUACAACUCCUAAUGCACUCAAGUCACGUACAAUGUAAAAGAUGUAGGUUAGACUACUUACAAGCUAUAAUGAGUGGAAAUAGGAUAGAUAAAAGUAGAAUGAAACUUUAUUAAAUACAUAAUAAAAAUUCAUACAUUUAUUACAUCGUGUCAUACUUUUAAGGGCUCUAUCUUAAUAUCCACAAACACUUUUAGCGGGACACCUAUUUAAUAAAUAAACUACACAAGAAAUUGAUUCAACCUAGAAAAUUUUAGGCAAUUGUUUUAUGUGCAACAUGCACCUUUCUAUAUCCAUAAUUGUUCUAUUUUUCCUCUUUGUGAUUUUGGUUUUUCUUGGAGUGUACCUUACAAUCAAAUCAUGCUUAAAACUACAUUAAAAAAAAAAUCAUCAUAAAUGGUAUAUUUAGUAUCCUUAUUUGUUCUCAAAAUUUUGAUGGUAUGCCCACUUUGUUUUUCCACAUAAAAUUUAAAAUUUCUGAAAUUUUCACAUGCAUUUUUUUUUUUUUUUGCUUUAAAAAAUAAGCCCAAGCAUUUUGACUAAAAUCAUCGACAAAAGUUAUAAAAUACUAGUGAUUUCCAUUUAAGGGAACCUCCAUUAAACAUAGAUCCAAAUGAAUCAACUUGGGAGGCUUCAUAACUCUUUAUGAUUUUCUUGUAGGAAAAGGAUCUCUAUGCUUCUUUCCCAAAACACAUGUUUCAUAAACCUCAAUUGGAGAAUUAAUAGAAGGCAAUCUAAACGUCAUCUUCAUAUAGCAAGUAAUUUUAGACUUUCAAAAUUUAAAUGUCCAAAACAUGAGAGUCAUAACCAAUUUUAUCAUCAAUUAUAUAAAACUAAAGCAAGGAAAAUCUCCACUAUUAAUAUUUAUAGAAAUGAAAGAUUUUCUGUUAUAUUUACAUUUCUAUUAGUCCUUUAUGGUCAUCAUUAAUGGUACAGAUGCCCUCAUAGAUUCGUAUAUUAUACAAUCUCAUUGAAAGUUUCUUCAUGCUUAUUAAAUUUUGAUGAAGACUUGGAACAUGUAACACAUUAGAAAUGAAAUUUUGGGAUUCAUCCUUGAAUUUAAUGGAAAUCUUAUAUUUACCCUUAAUUGGUACUGUUGUGCCAUUUCUAAAUUUUAUCUCUGAAUUAGAAGUCUCAUCCAAUUUGGAAAACGUCUCUUUCCUAUCACACAUAUGAUUAUUACAACCUAUAUCCAAAAAUCAUGUAAUUUUGUUUUCAUCCAGUCCAACUGUCACGCCCCAAGACCCACUCCAAGGGCGUGACGGUCAUUUCACACCUCAAACUCGAAGGCUUAAAUUAUAAUCUGACCCGAACAAUCAUAUUGUAACUAAAUGUUACCAAUUACCAAAUACCUGUUCAGAGUAGCGGAACAAAAUCUAAAUUCCUCAAAAUUCAAUUUCCAAAUAACUUCUAAAUAUCAAAUGAUCCAAAUGAACAUAACUAACAGUUAAACAAAAUCCAACAUAAAAUCCUAAGUCAAAUCCUAAUGAUGACCAUUCUUCAGCCUAGCCAUCACUCCUCACCCGAACUAAGAGUACCUGAAAAUUUUCAACAAUUGGAAAUGAGCUCACAGCCCAAUAAGGAAUAUUAAUGCAAUUCAUGGAUCAAAUAUUUUCAUUUCAAAUAAGAGAUAUCAUUUUUUUUUCAUCAAAUAUCAGAGUUUCAAAAAUACCAAUAUAUUCAAAAUUCAACCAACCAUUUUCAUAUCAAAUUCAAACACUUUCACAUAAGAUUCAAUCAAAUCCAUUCAAUUUUCAUUACUUUGGUUAUCAAAUAUCAAAUGCCCAGUUAGGUGGAACUUUUCAAAUGGGUGGCUAGCCUCAAAUUGUUCCUGGUGGACGGAACCAAACACUACUAGUACUAGUAACCUCUAACCAAACCCCUAGAGGCUGGGGUCCAAAUCAAGUACACUCCCACCAUGAAAUGUAAAGGUCAACUAUUAUAUCCCGUUGACAGGGCCGAAUAGUCAACUAUUAUAUCCCGUUGACAAGGGCCAAAUAAACCAGAGUGAUGUUUUUGUUCAAGUAUUCAAAUUUACACAACAUAAUAUCUCCAUAUUUUGUGUCAUAAAUAAAACAAAAUAUUCCAACAUAACAUUUAGUGCAAAACAAUUUGAUCCAUGCAUGGUAACAAAAUAUCAUUUUAUUUUCCACAAUUCAAAAUAACAUAUGAAAUAAUUUAAUUUUAUAAAUAUUAUAUUAACUUUUCUUACCUCAAAAGAAGUCCUUGAAAGCUUGGGAGAAGAAUAAUUCUGAAAAAAAUAUAAUCUACUCUUCACCUAAUAUAACAUAAGAGAAACAAUUAUUACUAUUUAUUUAUAAUUUAACUAAUCUAUUCCUUAUUUAAAUAAAACUAAUAAAUUCUCAAUUUGUUUCUAAUAACACAUUACUAAUUUAAUUAAAUUAUAACUUUAUUUCAUUAUAAAAUUCUAUAUAUAUAUAUUGUUAAAUCUCUUUUUCUAUUUAUUACAAAAAUACCAUUAUUACUAUUAUCUUAUUUGUUAAUCUAAAACUAAAUAUCAUUUUUUUUUAUUAUUAUCCAAUUCAAUAGCUACCUAACCAUUACUCAUUCUCGGGUACACACCAAAAAGCAAGUUUUUUUUUUUUUUUUUUGGCAAUUCAUUAUAUAUAUAUAUAUAUAAGGGGCUUCUUGGCAGGCUGGCACACGCACCUUUUGUUUUUCUUUCUUUUUUUUUUUUUUUUUUUUUUUUUUGGGUCCAUGCUUCCAGUAACACAGUACACGUACCCCCCCCAUUUUUAUUUUAUUUUUCUUCCUUCCCUCCCUCCAAGGGUGGGCACACCCGUUCCUUUUUUUUUUUUUAAAUAACCCCAACCCAAAACCAAAAUAUUCCAAGGAAAUAUUUUUUCUAAAAAAACUUAAAAACCCCCAAAUUCCAAGGCAAAAAUCAAAAAAUUAAAUUUUCCCUAUUUGAUAUUAAAACAAAUUAAAAAAAAAUCUAACCCCAAACCAGAUUUGGGGUUUUCCAAAAAAAAAAAAAUCCAAAGGGGUUGAAAAUAACCAUGAAUCUAAAAAUAUAAACAAGGGGUAAAAAUCUUAACUACANNNNNNNNNNNNNNNNNNNNNNNNNNNNNNNNNNNNNNNNNNNNNNNNNNNNNNNNNNNNNNNNNNNNNNNNNNNNNNNNNNNNNNNNNNNNNNNNNNNNAACAUAACAUUUAGUGCAAAACAAUUUGAUCCAUGCAUGGUAACAAAAUAUCAUUUUAUUUUCCACAAUUCAAAAUAACAUAUGAAAUAAUUUAAUUUUAUAAAUAUUAUAUUAACUUUUCUUACCUCAAAAGAAGUCCUUGAAAGCUUGGGAGAAGAAUAAUUCUGAAAAAAAUAUAAUCUACUCUUCACCUAAUAUAACAUAAGAGAAACAAUUAUUACUAUUUAUUUAUAAUUUAACUAAUCUAUUCCUUAUUUAAAUAAAACUAAUAAAUUCUCAAUUUGUUUCUAAUAACACAUUACUAAUUUAAUUAAAUUAUAACUUUAUUUCAUUAUAAAAUUCUAUAUAUAUAUAUUGUUAAAUCUCUUUUUCUAUUUAUUACAAAAAUACCAUUAUUACUAUUAUUUUAUUUGUUAAUCUAAAACUAAAUAUCAUUUUUUUUUAUUAUUAUCCAAUUCAAUAGCUACCUAACCAUUACUCAUUUUCGGGUACACACCAAAAAGCAAGUUUUUUUUUUUUUUUUUUGGCAAUUCAUUAUAUAUAUAUAUAUAUAAGGGGCUUCUUGGCAGGCUGGCACACGCACCUUUUGUUUUUCUUUCUUUUUUUUUUUUUUUUUUUUUUUUUUGGUUCCAUGCUUCCAGUAGCACAGUACACGUACGCCCCCCAUUUUUAUUUUAUUUUUCUUCCUUCCUUCCUUCUAGUGCUGUGCACACGCGUUCCUUUUUUUUUUUUUAAUUAACCCUAACCUAAAAUCAAAAUAUUCCAAGGAAUUAUUUUUUCUAAUAAAACUUAAGAUCUCCCAAAUUCCAAUGCUAAAAUCAAAAUAUUAAAUUUUCACUAUUUGAUAUUAAAACGAAUUAAAAAAUAAUCUAACCCUAAUCUAGAUUUGGGGUUUUCCAAAAAAAAUAUAUCUAAUGUGUUUGAAAUUAAUCAAUGAAUCUAAAAUAUUAAACUAGGGGUUAGAAUCUUACCUAUAGAGAUCUGUUCUUCAACCCUGAAAUCUGACUCCAACCUUACGUUCUCUGGAAUUUUGCGAACAGGAACUCUAUUUAGAAAAGAAGGGAAAGAAUAAAAUUUCUAAUUUAUACCUAGGGUAUUUAUUCGUAAAAUUACACUUUUACCCCUCUUCCACUUUAUUAAAUUAAUUAAUCAAUUAAUUUAAUUAUUAAUAACAAUUUCCUAAAUUACCCUUAAGAGAAAAUGCUUGGGUGUUACACCAACAAUAUAGGUCAAUAACAAGGUUUUCGAAUUUUCACUUUUACCUUCUGUAGAAUUUGCUUGAAAAUUCCUCUCAUUGAUCUCCUAACCCUACCUUCUGACUGGUAAUAACCAUAUUUUUUUACAAUUAUAACAUUGUAUAUGUGAUUUAUUAUUUUUUUGAGUUUAAAUAUAUUACAUUGUUCACCUUUUUGGCUUGAUCUGAACUUCCCUUUUAUAUCCUCCAGUCUACUUAUUCUUAUUUGAUUCAUAAUUAUAUAGAGACAUCUUUUUCUCUUCUAAUACUUACUUAGCUUUGUAAUGCUUUUUCCACCUCAAUUUGAGGCUUUUCAAUGCCUUGUUUAUGAGCUUGCAAGGAACCCAUCAAUUCAUCCAAUGUUAUGGUACUAAAUUCUUUCGAUUCUUCAAUUGUUGUUAACUUGUACUUGAAUCACAUGGUUAAGGUUUGAAAAAUUUUCUCCAUAACUUGGAGAUUUGAAAUGUUUUCACCAUUAGAUUUUAUCUAGUUAACAAGAGCUAAUAUCUAUAUUAAAAAAAAAAAAAAAGUUGGAGCCUCGUUCUGUUUCCUCCAUUUGAAGAAAGUCUAAUUGCCUUCUCAAAGCCUGUAAUUGAAGUUUUGCUCGUUCUCUACCCCUUUGUAGGUGUUCAUAAAGAUGUCUCUUGCACCUUUUGUUGUGCUUGCAUUUGUAGUCUUCUAAAAAAUAGGUAGUUCUAUCGACUAAUUAAUGUAAAAACGAGCCUUCAAAUCUUUCCUUCUAAAAUCCAUUAAAUUAUCCUUUUGAACUUGUAUGAGUUGUGUUUGAUAAAUUGGUACCAUAUAGUCUUAGUUUACUAUUUCAAAUAUCUUGAUACUCAAACAUUAAUUGCAUAUGAAUCCUCCAAAAUUUAAAACUAUUUUUUUUAUAUCAAACUUUGAAAAUGGAGUUUGGAUUAUAUUAUUAUUGGUUGCUUGCAUCUUUAUUAAUCAUCAUACUAUACUAUGAUACCAAAUGUGAGCAACCAAAAACCAUCUUUUGAGUACUGGAGCAAUUUCUGUACGUAAAAAGAUGAAAAACUAGAAAGAGAUGACAAAUAAUUAUAUAAAAUUUACCAUUUUAUGUUAUCUAUUAUUUUUAAUAUAUAUAUAAGAAUAAUUGUAAAACAUAAUACUAAUAAAAUAUAACUCUUAUAAUAGGAUUCCAAGCUGUAUGAAGACUCACAUUCAAAGAACACGUACGGUGUUCGUUUAGUUGGGAUCCCUGCAGAAAUGCCAUACUGGAUCUUUCUGUGUUUCUCUUUCUCUGAUGGAAUACUGCAAAUAUGACUCUAUCAUCAGGUUCGACAAGGGAUAUGGUGAAGCGACAGAGCCUAUUGUUGUCCCUGCCGAGUACAAUAAUGUAAUUACGUGGGCAUCAAAAUGGGGUCAGUGUUGACAGUUAAGAGAGUUGAUCACGUGGGUGUCAAAAUGGGGUCAGCGUUGACAGUUGAGAGAGGUGAUCACGUGGGUGUCAAAUCGGGGUCAGUGUUGAAUGUUGCGAAGGUUCAUCACGUGGGUGUGGGUUCAUUCACCGUCCGUGCAUGAUGAAUAGAUUGAUGUGAGAUGUAAACUACUCAACUCAACUCAACUCCACCAAACAAGCUGAGCUGCCACCAUGUGCACCCCCCACUGUUGGUUGGGGUGUCAAAUGUAUAUUCGCUAGGCAACGACAACUGCCUAUUGUUGUUUAAUGCUAGCAUACCUAGUUUUAUCUCUCAUCUCCUACCUCAAAGCCUCAACCUCAACCUCAACCUUUUGUUCUCAACAACUCAAAAAUUGUGGACUUAUAGAAUAUGCCCCAUUCAUCAAUUUUCAAGGAACAAUCAUGCAUGAUUAGUUUAUUUGAUGGUUUCUUUAAUAGAAAUUGCGUGGGUAUAAAAUGUUAUUGUAAAAUUGGAUUUCUUCACUUACGAUUUUGUACCUCCUGGUUUUUUAUUUGCUUAAAGUUGUAUUGGACUUGUAUUAUACUGUGCUAUGUUUAAUAUCAAGAAAGUAUUAUGGAAAAAAAUAUUAAAAAAUAAAUAAAUCUCACAUCUUCUUUGAUUUUGUCAUGAAAAUAUAAAAAAAAUCAAAUAUAAUAAAGUUAGAAAAUGAUGCGUUUUUAAAUUAUUUAAUUUCUAUAAUAAAGAUAAAAAUAUAUGAAAUAAGUUUUAAAUAAUAUAUAAAAAUAAAUUAUUAACAUGGUUUUUUUUAUAAAAAAAAUUAUUUAUUUAUUAUUAUUAUUUUUUAUAUUUUCUUCUCCUUAUAUUUCCCCUCAAAUUUUUUUAAAAGCAAAUUGUAAUAUUUAAACUAGUUCCAUUAAGCUAUCACCUUUUAAAACAAUAAUAUGAUAUAUAUACAUUAACAAUGAAAAAGUAUGAUUUACUUUUAAUCAUGUAGGUAUUGUUUGUUUUGGGUCCAAGAAGUCCUCAUAAUUUUAAAAUGCAAUCAAAGAUAAAAAAGAACCCAUAUAUAUAUAUAUAUAUAUUGCUUUUUGUAGAGGUAGUCAUGGUAGACAAGAGUUUGGUUUGUUGUUUAAUUUAAGUGAUAAAUUUUAUACUAAAAGUGUGUCAUACUCAUACAUAUCCAUGUUCAUUGGAUUCUCUGGCCUUGCUUGAUCUUCAAAGAGUGGAGAUGUUGUCUGCUCUUAUCUUCUUCCACGUUCAUUGUCUAGUUUCUGUUUUUUCCAAGAGGGGGGGCCUAUCGUGUUUUUUUGGUUUAUACAUUAUACUACUUAUAUUGUAUGUCAACCGUACUGCCUCCUUUCAGUAUCUAUGUAACCAUCAAGUUUGCUGAAGAAAAAGAAAGAGAAAAACGAGGCUUCUGAGACAUAUAUUUUCGUUUGCAGUUUUUUUCCCUUUUAUUAGUAAAAAAUGUAUGUUUAUUUCUAAAAAUAUCAUCCAGAAUUAUUGAAUGUAGGUAGGUAUGGUGUGUUACGAAUUAUUUAAUUGAUGUAGGUGCAGUGUCUUUUCAUAGCAAUCCGCCAGGAGGGAAGCAUAUGACAAAAGAUGUCUUGAUCACAAAAGGCUAAGCCAUCAUCUCAGUGGACUCAGAGGAUGAAUCGGUGAGGGCCAGGAUUGGUUGGCUUGUGAUUGGAUUGAUAUGGAGACCAAGUGAUUGCAUGGACCGACCCUUGUGGUGGUGAAGAAAUGGAUGGCAUACUCGAAUUUGGAUUAAUUGUCAGAGGUGAUCUUAAUUCCCAACUUUCCUUGGAAGAGCAUGGGUAUAAUUGUUUGUGGCAACAACCCGAUGAGUCAGUUAUGUAUAUAGUUGAGGUGUGGUAUUGUGUGAAUCUUAAUUCCUUCUUAGACCCUUUUUUUUUUAGAUGUUCUUUUUUGUUUUUGCUUUUUUUAAAAAAAUUAUUAAAAUAUAAAUACAAAAAUAUGAUACUUUUCAUUAUUUCUUUUAUUUUUAUAUUAAACUCAUCUCUUUAAAAGACGAAUUCACUUUUUAUACUGAACUUGUCUUUUGAAAAGAUGAAUUAACUUUUGGUAUCAAAUUUGUCUUUUCAAAAAAUGAAUUCGUUUUUUUAUCUUAAAACCUUUUAAAGAAUUCAUUUCUAUUCAAAAUUAAAAAAUCCCUAAUUUUAAAAUUAUUUUUUAUGUUAUGAUCUUAAACAAAAUACACUACUCCACGAAAAAGCCCUUCACGGACACCACACACCACACUUAAUUAUAGACAAUGGUGAUCAUUUUUCACCAUCACAUCAUCCACGCUUCAUACUAGUUUCACUCUCUAAUAUUAUUAGUACUCCAAAUACGAAUUAAUUAUAUAUAUACAUUGGAAAAAUGUUUCUCUAUACCUCUCCUUAUUCAUUAGUAUUUUGUGUAUAUUUUAUAAAGUUAAAUGUAGUUACCGCUUGGAGAGAUAUAUCUGAAGAUAUAAUCUUUCUCAUUCCCAAUUUGUUAUUGUCAGUGCAACUUCACAAAAAUUUGUUUCUUUUUAUUAUAGGAACAAUCUAGGGGUAAACCCACUUCAUUCAUAUCAUGCUCAAUUUUAGACACGGUCACUACGAGAUAUCAUUAUGGUCAAGGUCAUUUCAAAAACCCUUAUCAAAUUAAUUAUGCUCAUGAUUUUGAAGAAAUUAAAUCAUGAUUAUAACACUAAGAAAAUGAAGUUUUUAUUUGACCAUGUGAUUUAAAAAUAGUUUUUUAUUUUUAAAAAUAGAAAAAUGUCUUUAAAAAAUUUUAAAAUGCAUAUUACUAUAAAAUAUCAAAGCGUUAUAUUUUUCACGUGUUCCAAUAAUUCCGAAUAUAAAUAUGGGAUUAUUUUUUUCAAUUGUUCCCCCAUUUGAAUUCCAUCCAUGGAGGCUUGGUUGGAUUUAUCAUACAAGUUAGAUAUAAAAGAAGUCAAAUGUUUUAACAUUAAUUACUUUUAACUAUUAAAAGAUGAAAGUCAAUUAUUGACUUAUUAUAUAAAGUAAGUUUCUAACUUCGGAAAGCUUAAAAUAUUAAAUUAUUCUCACUCAGAGAAUAAAUUAAGUAUUUACAUUUAUUUCAUAUAUUAAAUUCCUAUUAGGUUUUCCAAGUUAUAUUAUGUGAAUAAUAUUCUAGUUUCUAUUUAUAUGUGAUGAUAUUUUUGGAAUUAUAAUAGGAUAAGGAAGAUUUCCUGAAGUCAUACUCUAUUUAUAACUUUUGCAUUCCUAAACUCUUAUAUAUAUGCAUCAUGGAUACUUGAUUUUCAAAACUUUUUUUAGAUUAUAUGGUUAAUUUUCCAAAAAAAAUAAACCAUCUUCUUUGAGUAUUGUAGAGUAACCUACAUUCCCAAGUACAUAAGAGUUGAGAAAAACAUUGUUGAAGAUUGGUUGGUGCUAAGACAAGAUCAAUGGUAAUUGGGAUUUGACUCAAAUUAUUUAUUUUUUAUUUUUAGAAAAGUCAAUAUUUGUAGAGUUUGUAUUUUGGAAAAUUACAUUUUUAAGUUUGAUUAGGAUUAGGAAAUUAUUGUUUUAGGGUAACACAUAGGGCUUUAUAAAUAUGUGGUUUUAUAUUAAAUUGAUAGAGAUAGAUAGAUAGAGAGAGAGAGAGAGAGAGAAGAAAAAAAGAAAGAAAAGAGUAAAGAGAGAUAGGUAAAGGGUGUAUUAGGUUUUGGGUAGAGAAAGAUUGAGAAAAUUUGAAGUAUGUAAUCUUGAAGGUUGUAAUAAAUUUGAUAUUCCUUUCCCGUGGAUGUAGGUGAUUAUACCAAACCACAUAAAUAGUUUGUUUGCUCUAUUUUAUUUUAUUUUGCUUUGUUGCAUUUGAGUAUUGUGAUUUUUCCUAAUAAGUAUUAUCAGACCUUCUGCGUACUCAACAAAUGGUAUUAGAGCUGUGGUGUGAAGAUCGUGAGGAAAUUACUUUAAAGAUGAUGUUUGGGAUAAAAUAUAAUAUUGAGCCUUUUGAUGGAAAGAACAAUUUUAGUAUUUGUCAUAGUACUAUUAAAGAUGUUUUGGUGUAUCAAGGACUUUUUAAAGCAUUACAAGGCAAGAAACUAGAGAAGAUGAUAAAUGAAGAAUGAGAGGAAUAAGAAAUAAGAAUAGUAAGUUUUAUUCGUUUAAGUCUAGCUAGCUCUUAAAAUAAAGUAUAAUGUUUUGAAUGAGAAAUCUCGUACUAAUUUAGGAGAAAAGUUAGAAAAAAAUUUAUAUGCCAAAAUCCCUUACAAAUAGACUAUAUUUGAAGAAACAACUAUUUGAGUUAAUGAUGGAUGAAGGAAUGGUUGUUAAGGAUCAUAUAAAUAAAUUUCAUAAAUAUGUCACUCAAUUAUUAAGUGUUGAGGUUAAGAUUGAUGAGGUAAAUCAAAACAUUAGUUUAUUGGCAUCUCUACCAAAAUUUACGCUCUUAAUUGGAAAGAUAACUUUGACAGUGGAUGAGGUGUCAACUAUUCUUUUAGAAAAUGAAAAUAUUUAGCAACCAAAUAGUUUGUCUCAAACUAGACGAACUCUUGUGAUGAAUUCUGAACUAUGUUAUAAUAGGAGUAAAUCAUGAGAAAGGAAUUAUAAUAGAAGAGAUGAUCGUUCCCAAUCACAUUUCUAGAGGGAUAUGAGUGUUAUUAUUGCCAAAAAAAGAGAUAUAUUAGAAAAUAUUAUGAAAAAUUAACAAAGCACUUAAAAGUAAGAAAAAAUCUUAAAUCUCAAGAGACUUUAGAUUCUAUUAAUAGUAUUACUAAAGAGUUUGGUAAGGAAGUUGAUAUUUUUUUUUGUUAUAGUUAAUGAAAAUCUUACUAAUUCUUAGAUUUUGGAUUUUGGGUGUUCCUUUCACAUAUGCUUAUAUAAGAAUGGUUUGAUACCUAUGAGGAAUGUGAUGUUAGUACUGUUAGAAUGGGUAGUGAUUCAAGCUCUAAAAGUCAUUGGGAUUGGUUCUAUAAAAGUGAGGAUAUUUGAUGGUGUUGUGAGGACAUUGAGUAAUAUUAAGCAUGUUUCUAAGUUGAGGAGAGGUUUAAUUUCUUUGAGGGCUUUAGACAAUUAAUUAGGGCUAUGAUUUUUCUAUAAACAAUGAUAGCAUGAAGAUCAACAAAAAUGCUUUGGUAGUUAUGAAAGGAAAAAAGUUAAAAAAAAAAACUUGUACACUUUGAUUGGGAAGACAAUUUUAGGUGAAGCUAUGAAGGUAGAGUCAUGCCAUGAAGAGUAUUUUGCUAGUGCAUGUUAAAGAAGUUGUCAAAGUAGAAGAAUGCAACAAGAUGAUAAAGACUCCAUUUUCAGUUAAGAGUACUCAUUGACAUAAAAAUGAAAGUAAUUGCCAAAUGAAUAAAGUUAUGAAGAAGAUCAAAACGGUUUCUCGAGUCCGAUUUAAUGAGAGUUUGAAUAUGAUACAUGUUUAUUCUCAUUAAUUAUGUAGGAUUAAGAUAAUUUGAGUCAAGACAUAGUUUGUUGGGAUUUGACUCAAAUUAUUUAUUUUUUAUUUUUAGAAAAGUCAAUAUUUAUAGAGUUUGUAUUUUGGUAAGUUACCUUCUUAAGUUUUACUAGGAUUAAGAAAUUAUUUUUUUAAGGUUAACACACAUGGCUCUAUAAAUAUGUGACUUUAUAUUAGACUGAGAAAGAGAGAAAAAAAGAAAAGAAAAAGUAAGAAAAGAAUGAAGAGUAAGAGAUAAAGGGUGUAUUGCAUUUUGGAUAGAGAAAGGUUAAGAGAGUUUGAAGUGUGUAAUCUUGAAGGUUAUAAUAAAUUUGAUCUUCCUUUCACAUAGACAUAGGUGAUUACACCAACCACGUAAAAAGCUUGUCUUCUCUAUUUUGUUUUAUUUUAUUUUUAUUGCAUUUGAGUGUUGUGAUUUUUCUCAACAAGUGGUAUCAAAGCUUCCACAUACAAAACAAUCAAAGGUCAUGAAUCAAAUUGCAUCAAGUUUAUCGAAGGUCAUGAAUUAGAUUGCAUCAAGUUUUUGCUAAAUUCAUAGAUAGAAAAACAUUUUGAUUACUCUUUUCAUAAGAGAUCUUAGGUUGUUUUUAUCUUGAAUUGGAUUGAGGGAUUGACCAUGCAAAUUAAUUGUUGAAAACCUAGCUAAAGGAGUAAACGAUUGUAAUUUUCAAAAGCUUUAAAAAUUAAUGUUCCACUCUCAUUCCUUUCAAGUACCAUCUAGCAUAGUUGUCAAGUGCACAACCUAAAGUAAAAGCUUUUAAGCCUCAUAGAAUGUUAAACAACCUAGGUAAUCUCUUACCAUGCUUGAUGAAGAUACAAAACAUUGUAUUGUGUUAAAGCCCCCAAGUACUUACUACCCUUGAGCACAAUUAGGAUCCAUAUCUCUAAGAACUUUACUUACCUUGAUUUCUUUAAUAUUAAAAGUAAUAUUAAAGAUAAAAUGCAACUUUGAAGGGUGCUUGAAUUGAAUUCUCAAAUGUGACCCCAUACUACAUAACCUGAUUUAUCUUUGUUUUGAAGAAGCAUGAAAAGUCAUGGCUUUUCUUAAACACAAUUAGGGAAGUAGAUUUUUAUUUAAUGAAAAAAUUCAAAAAAUGGAAAGUUUAAAAAAGUAUUUUUUAAAAUAUAGUUUUCAAACAUAAAUUGAAUUGUAUAACAAUAAUUACUUCUAUUUCUUAUAUUGCUCACACAAAAGGUUAUAAGUUUUUCAAAAUAGGACCCUAAUCCAUUAAGUAAAUGAACCUAGAGUUUUUACUUAAAAUUAAAAUUUGAUAAAUGGAUUUAAAGGAUUUAUAAUUUUUGGAUUACAUUUUUAUCCUUUAAUUUUUUUAAAUGCUAAAUUAUUAUAAUAAAAUUAAUUAAUUAAUAAUUUUUAAGUUUUUUUGGUGAAAAUAAAUCUAUUUAACUUCAAAAUGAAAAUCAUUUAGCAUUUGGUCACUAAUAUGCAUAAAAAUCGAAAAAUGCCACGAAGAGACUUUCAAAACACAAAACAUUGAUUAUAUGAAACUAGUCAAUUUAUCAUAUGACAAGGAUAAAAAGUAAGAGAUUAUUAACACCCCAUCAAGCAAAUUUUAGCUUAAAGAUACUCACUCAUAAGACCAUAACAAACUAGCAAUGAUAAAUAAUUUUCAUUUAUAAAGUUAUAGAUAUCCAUGAACCAAAAUCAUUUUUAAGAUCACAUUCACCCUUAGAGAAAACUCAAAUUUAUUUUUCUUUGAAGUCAAUUUACAUCUCUCUUGAUCGGAUAUUUGUUUAACAUAGUAAAAAAAAAAAAAAAAUCCCUUUAUAUGGAUAUAAACUUUACGUAACAUUUUUUUUUUAAAUAACAUAUUGGCAGCACACGUAGGAUAGAAUUACAACUUUAAGAUCACUAAGGUGGUCACUUCAAACAUAGAGGGAUGUCCCACUUUUGCAAUGGAGGCCUUUGAUACUUGAAACAUUGCCAAGGUGUCAUAACCAUUAUGGGAAAUAAAUUAUAUAUAUAUAUAUAUAUAUAUAGAUAUAUAUAUUUUAUUUGUUUUUAUUUUAUUUGAGAAAGAGUACACAAUCAAGAGACACAAAUUCAAACUCUCAAGAAGAUUCAUGUGACUUUACUCAAGCUUUAAGGCACAUUGAAUAAAUAUAGAAUUAUAAAUGAUCUUUAAGAAUCAUUUAUCAGUUUUUAUGAAAUCAUAAGCCACUCCAAAAGCUAUAAGUCACUUAAUAGAUAUGAAAUCAAUAUAUUGUAGCUUAUCCAAGCAAAGUAAAAUAAUAAGCACCUUAUAAUCAAGCUCAUUAAUUGACACAAUAAGGAUGUUUAUAUCUUAGAGCACUUUUGGAUCAUUAUGAAAUAUAAUAACCAUUUUCUAUAAAGGAAAUAAUGUCAAGUCCUCAUAAAAACAAACACCCAUGUUUAGACUAGAGGAAAAGGAUAUGAAGAGAUACCAAUGAAUAAAAAUAGAUAAAUGAGAACCAAGAAGGAGCAAGACAACACAGACACUUUAAACUUGAGAGGACCACUAGGACAAAAGGAUAUGCAUGAAGGAUGUGUUAGACAAGACCCUUAAGACAGUUAGGUGAGAAUCACUAGACCUAUGGAGCUUCUUAGUGACUCAAACCUAAAAAUGUCCAAAGGCUUAGUAAGGAUAUCAACUAUUUGACACUUGAUAGAAAAAUAUUUAAAGGAAACAAUUUUGUCUUCUAUGAAGUCAUGAAUGAAGCAAUGUCUAAUGUCAAAGAGUUUGACUCUAAAAUAAUGAAGAUGAUUCUUUGAUCUAUCAAAUAACACCAACAUCAUCCAUUUUCAGAUGUUGAAAAAAUAGGGUAUGUGUUAAAGAAGACUAUAUUGUUUAAUAUACUUUAACAAAUAAUGCCUACAUCUAUGGAUGAUAAAGAAUAAAUCUAUUACGUUAUAUAGAAAUUAUAGAAGAAUGAUAAAACAUAUACAAUUAAAUUUUGAAACAAUAUCAAUUUUCCUCUCCUAAUAUCUAUACUUUGAAGUGCUAUGUUUUAUUUCACUACAUCUCUCUCUUUUUCAUCUCUACUGUCUUAGUAUAAACUUUAAAUAUUUAUCUCUACAUCAUAAAUUUUUUUUCCAUGUAUUCUAGAAUAUUUAAUGGGAUAUUUUUAACAAUUUUUCUUAUUUCACACGAAAAGAUAUUUCCAUAAGAAAUUAACAGGAUAUGAAAUAUUAUUUAUCUAUCAUACGGAAUAUAAUAUCAAAUAAAAAUUUGAACUUGAGAAAAUUUCUAAUUGAGAAAUCUAUAUACUCUUAAAAGUAAUGGAUGAAAAGCAAUACUUAUUUCUAUAAAGAAGGUAAUUGAAUUAUCUAAAUGCAAGUACAAUGAUGACAUGUAACAAUUCACUCUCUUUUGAGUAUAUUUUAUUUAUUUAUUAUUUAAUAGACAUUCAUAAAUUUAAAAUAUAUUUACAUAAUUAAGAGUAAUUCACGAUCACUAUCCUCCUUAUCUCCCCUCUUUAUAAACACGAUGAUCUUGUUGUGUCCCAUAAAAUUAUUAAAAUAAUAAAAAUAUUCACAUAGAUUCUCACAUUAGGGUCAGAUAUUAACUUUGAUACUAUUUUAUAAUAAACAAUUUCCUUUCAUGCAUAUAUUUUCUUUAAACCUAAUGAUCAAGCCAUCAUAGUUUUAAAAUAGGUCUAUAGAGUUCAAAGUAACCCACUACAUCAUGUAAGAAUGAUAUGAUUGUGGUAUUAGAACAUUAUAGGUGCCGAGCGGAGUUAAAAGUAACCUAGUACAUUUGAAUAUCGACAAAGUUGCAAGUUGAAAUCAUGCCACAGUUGAAAACAACGGAAAUUGGGUUAGUUCGAACGGGUGCACCACGUGGGUGUGGGCUCAUUGACACUGUACAGAUUGUUGGGAUGUAAACUCGAUGAAACAAGCUAUGGUGUCACCAUGUGCACCUAAGUGUGAAUCGGGACUUUCAAUGAUGAUAGCUGCCAAUUAUUUAAUUAUUUAACGGGAACCACUUGUAUUUGUAUCUAAGAUCUCAGACAUCAAUUAUUUGCACUCAAGCACUCCAAUUGAAAAUUUGUAGCAUGUGAUUUAAUAAGCUAACAUAUCCCAUGUAACAAAUUAAUUAAUUGUCAAUGUAAAAGAAUUAUUAUGGUCAGAAUAUUUCAUCAUAUAAAAUCUCAUGUAUUUCCUUAAAAUAAUUUGUACCGGGUCGAAAAUGUCAUUAUAAUUAAAUACAUGUUUAUAUUAAUAAUAAAAGAAUCAAACUCACAUCAAACGAGCUCAUUACAAUAUUAUGCAUGUUAAAAAAAUAAUAUUAUAUUAAUAAUAAAAGAUUAAUGCCUCUCACUAUCUAAUAAAUCCCACUAAAUAAUAUGCAUAGAAAAUAUGAUCUUGCUUUUAUUUUGUGGGUGUUAAUUAGUAUUAAUUUAUAUCAUAUCAUUUUAUCAAUAAUUAAAAAAAAAAAUGCUUCAUGGAAAGGAAAAGGGCAUAAAAAAUCAUAUGUAUAGAGUUCUUGGUUAUUUUAACAAAACCUUUUUUUUUUCGCAUUUUAAUUGAAAUUCAUUAAGGUUAUGUUUGGUUUUCGAAAAAUAUUACAAAAGAAAAAAAGAAAAAAAAAAGAAAAGUGGUUUUCUUAUAUUUGGUUUCAAUGUGAAAAAAAACAAAUAUAAUUAAAAUUAGUUAAAAAUUUACAUAAUUUUAAAUUAUUUAAUAUGAAAAAAUAAAGGAAAUAAAUUUGAAGUACAUAUAUAAAAAUAAUCUAUUCAUUUUAAAUCCACAUUUUAUUUUAUUUCUUUUUAUUUUUUCUCUCUAUUUUCUUUUUCUCCUAUUUUUUUUCAAUUUUUGAGAAUUAAACAUAGUCAAAAUAUAUUUUGACUGAAUUCUUGGUUAUUAAUUGUAUGGCAUCCUUAAUUUUAAUGAUAAUGAUGAAUAAAUAAAAAUUAAAAACUCCUUGUGAAUGGAUCAAAAUUAUCCUAUCAAGGCAUAUAGAGUGAAACCCACUCGAUCAUCAAUCAUUGAACAAAAACCUUUCAUUUGAAAACAAUCUACGAUAGAAGAGGAUUGCUUUGUAAAUGUCAUAGUAUGGAUACAACUCAGUUUGUUCUUUAAUUGAGUGACCAAUAUUAUAAUAAAAGUGUUCUACACAUAUCCUUCUAUCCUACAUUCAUUGGGUCAUAUUCCAUAUGCCUGCUAAUCUUGGAUUUUCUUAUCUGGAAAACACCCCCUUAUUAUUGCUGGACAAUUGGACAUUUAGCUGUGUGGCUCCAGCUUCUCCUUCAUCCGAGAGGGCCCAUGCUGGUUUUUGGUCUAUACUACUUAAUAUGGUAAUCAACAGUACUGCCUUUUUCUGUGUUCUACGUACAUAACCAUGAAGUUUCCUCGGUUUUCGAUCUUUCUAUUUAUUUUCAUAUUUUAUCUAGAGAUCUCAUCAUCAUGGAUACGUACCCCUUUCUCUUGCCAAUAGCGCUACUAUGCCUGUAACAAAAAACGUAUAGUUAUUAUAAAAUAUACAUAUUUAGUACGUACGUUAAGGGGACAGAAUCAGACAAGAUAUAUAGAACAAAGAUGUUUGGUACAACUACCCUCAAAGACCAGGAGACAAGCAUUUUAUUAAAAGAUAAUGAGUUGCCCAUGGUUGAUGAGUUGAUCUCAGGAGCUGGCCUUGAGUUGAUAUGCCAUACUAGUAUUUAGCUAUUUAAAGGCUUAGUUCCCUUGAUAGAGUCAUUGCAUAAUUUCCUCAGUCCCUUGAGUUGUGCGCAUUGCCUUCGUUUCUUCAUCUCUUGUUAUCUUUUUGAGUUGUGCAAAAUGGCCCGCCUAGUACCUGAAAAUUGGGUAUGCAUCAAAGCUGAUGAAGAUGAUUUCUUCAAAGGGAUUGAUUUUUCAAAAAUCAACAAUGCCCUUCUCAUCUCAUUUCUAGAAGACUCGCAAGGAGAUCAAGAGCAUGAUGAUGAACAAUUACUAAGCAUGAUGCGAUCCUUAGAAACAGAGAUCCAUCCCAAUACCAUGAACAGCUAUGAUCCACUUGUGGAAGAAGCCCAAUUAGGCGUCCCAACUGAGGAUUUUCAACUGCGCAGGCAUGGGCUCGUGAAGGGUCAGGAUUGCUUGGCUGCACUUGACAUGGAAUUUGAUUGGAUUGAUACGGAGCUUUCACCUUAUCAACCAACUGAUCAUAUGACCGGCCACUACAUGGAGCAUUUUGGUCAUGAAAUGGACGGUGUAGUUGAAUUUGAAGGCGGCAGAGAUUAUAAUUCCCCAGUCGCUUGGCAUGUUUCCUUGGAAGAGCAUGGGUAUAAUUUUUUGUGCCAAGAAACUCAUGACUCAAUGGUGUAGAUUUUUCUAAGGUGUUCAAAAUCCGUAAAUCUUAAUUGUAAAGCUCUCGCAAUCCACUAUAAAUUGUAGAUGAUGGUGAUCGAUGAAUUUUAUGACAUCUUUCUCUUUCUCUCUCUCCAUAUAUAUAGACACAUGAAAGUAUAUAUCCCUCCCUUAAGUCCAUUCACAUGCUAUAUAUGUUUGUAACUUCAUUUUUUACAUUGAUAUUUUCUUUCUAUUCGUACAAAACAGAUGUAGGGUUCUGCACAUUUUUUUCACUUAUAAUUGAAGAUAUAGAAUCAUCAUUGAUUUCACUACAAGGAAAAAAACUUCAGUAAAAAACGACUGCAGUCAUUGUAUCUUAACAAUGACUCAUUUUGUUUGUCAUCAUUCACUUUGCAGCAGUUUGAACCAUAUAAACUUAAAGUCUCAUUAUGCCAUUUUAAAACUAAGUACAAGCCAAUUUAUGCCACAAAAAAUAAAAAGAAAAACCAUACAACAUAAUUAUAAAUAUGUUAAACCAUCAAACAUGUAAAUUCAUAUUAAGAAGGCUAAAGUUUAAGAUACUAGGUUUGUCAUAAGUUUUUAUGCUAACAAAAAAGAUCCUAAAAUAUAAACAUAGACCUUUUAAACACAAAAAUUUGUUGUAAUCUUUCUUUCUACUGAAAACUUGGUUCAAAAAACCUUGCAAAAGCUUUACAAUGAGGGCUUUGUAGCCUUCCAUAUAUAACAUCCAAAAUUUAUCAACUAAUCCUGUCAAUGUUAGUAGGAGUACAAUGAAGCUCGUUUGUCACAGUGCAGUUCAUUAUUCAAUGGGUUUAGUUCUCUAAAUCCUUUGAAAGUGAUAUUGUACUUUCAAAAAUCUAUAUAGCAUCAAAUAGAAAGCAAUCAAAUAUGAAGUCUUGCUUUAGGUAGGAAACAAUUAAUUUCCAAAACUAGCUUCAAAAUCUAAAGAACCAACUUGAGUGUCUUGAGAAUAAAAAUUAUGGUCAAAGUUUGAGAAUAUAAAGAUUUACAAAGACUAGGAAAAGAAAAAAAACAAAAUCAUUAAAGCUCCAUGAGUGCAAUAUGAACCAAAAUGAUGUAGAACACAAGUGGCUACUGCUACUAUUAUGGUUUUAGUAUAGUAGACAUUACAUAUUAGUGGCCAAACAAAGGCUAUAUAACCUAAAGUGCACUUGGUUAAGUAACUUCUAUCUAUACAUCUACUAUUUCAUAUAACUUCGAAUAGAAAAGUCUAUUGUAUUUAUUGUCUUUAAAAGAAGCACAAUUUUUUUAGUAUGCAAUAGAAGUCCUCUCAUAUCCAACAACUUAUGAAAGUACAAGAAAAAAAAAUACUAUACAUAUAUUAUUUGAGACUCAAAUGAUUGUUUAAUAUAAUCAACAUUUAUAACUAAUACUUGAUGUUCAAAAUACCUAUUCAACAUUUUUGUCUUUUUAACUAUUACAUAUGUUUGUUUAAAAUGUAUAUGUAAAAGAGAGAGAGAGAGAGAGAGAGAGAGAGAGAGAGAGAGAGAGAGAGAGAAGAAAGAGCUUCACGUACUUGUUCAACAUGUUGGUUUGUUAAGUAUUAGUUCAAUUACAAACUCCACCCAUUUAUAUAUUAAUUGAUCAAACUCUCUUGGGGAAGAGAGUAUUCCAACCCUUCCCUACAUAGAGAUGACACAAAAAGGGGAAAGAACUAGGAUAUAGUUGUAAUGACCAAAAUCAAUGGGGAACCUAAAGAUGAGUCUAAGAAUGUAGUCACAAUGACUAAAAUCAAUGAAAAACUAAAAAAUAAGACUAAGAACAUUUUCACAAUUAUUGUAAUUGAUUAAAAACUAAAGCCGAGACCAAAGAUGCAAUUGCAAUGAUUGAAAUCGGUGAAGAAACUAAAGACUAAAUGACAUAAUCAUGAUAACUGAAAUUGAAGGGAAACUAAAGAUAUUCAAAGGAUAUGGUAAUGAUGACUGAAAUGGAUGGGGAAACUAAAGACAAACUAAGGACAUGGUUGCGAUGACUAAAAUUGAUGAGAACUUAAAGAUAAGACCAAGGGCAUGAUCACAGUGACCAAAAUCAAUGAAAAAACUAAAAAUAAGACCAAUGAUGCAAUCACGAUGAUUGAAACCAACAGGAAGACUAAAGACAGACCAAGGACAUGGUUGCAAUGACCAAAAUUAGCGAGGAAAUUAAUAAUAGACCAAAGAAUUAGUUGGGAUGAAAAGAGUCAAUGGAAAACUAAAGACAAAUCACUUUGUUGAUUGAAACCAAUACGGAAACUAAAGACAAACCAAGGACAUGGUCACAACAAUUGAAAUCGUUGGGAAAAUUAAUGAUAGACCAAAGAAGUAGUUGGGAUGAAAAGAGUUAAUGGAAAACUAUAGACAAAUCGCUUUGUUGAUUGAAACCAAUAGGGAAACUAAAGAUAAUCUAUACUCCCACCAUGAAGCUUAUGACCAUUCUAUGGAAGAAUAGAAAAUCAUUUCUACAAGAGAUCAAUAAUCUAUACUCUUAAAAUGGAGCUUACAUCCAAAUCUAUUGCAAUAAAUAUUCAAAUGAUAAAAUGAAAGAUCUCAUACAUUCAUCCCUUUAGAUCAUGGGAUAAAUAAAAAUCCUAUAACACAAAAGUGAGUGCAUGACUACUACUAAAAAACAACACAUUUUAAAUAAUAAUUCUCAUGAAUUCCAUACCUUUUGAGUAGUAAUUAUGCCUAAUAUGCCCAAGUAAUACAUUGUUGCCCUUACAAGAGAUGCUAAUGAUUUUUGUGAAGUUUCAUAGAUAUUUCAAGGUGAUUUUUGAAGAAUUGAGUGACAAAAGAGAAAUGGAAUUGAGGAGGGCAAAUAAUGUGGAUGAUGAGGAAGAAUCAAUGCACUUGGAGCAAGAUUUGGAGGUAGUUGAGGUGGAUUCAAAAGGAGAAAUGGAAGAAAUGAAAAAAGAAAGCUUAAAAAUCAAAUAUUUUCAUUUCGCAUGAUCAUGCGAAAAUGCAUGUCUAUGCGAAAUGGACCACAAGGUGGAAUUAUGUUGUAGGCUAAAGGAGAAUUGUCAAGCUGAUUUUGCAUGAUCAUGCCAAAAUUUCGCACAGUCAGGCGAAAUGCUCUAGAAAGCUAUAAUUGCUAUUACUGAAUUUUUUAUUUUGCACAACCAUGCGAAAUUGACUGAGUUCGUGCGAAAUGGUCAUUUUGUUGUUAAACUCCAAGUUGCUUGAUGAAGAAGUUUCCGAAAGACCUUUUAGAUGAUGUGAAGUGUCCACUUGACCUUGGCUUUUAAAUAAAAACUUGAUUUUCUCAUGAAAAAGCUUUUUUUGGACACUUCUAAUUGUAGAAUUUUUCAAAUUUUCUCUCUCAAUAGAAUUCUCUAUUUUUCUUCAUUUUUUAUGAUUUUCGCACUAGCCAAACAUGCCUUGUGAGACCAAAUCUCCAAGCAUGAGUGGCUAAAUCUCAUUUUUCUCGGAGAAAGGAGGAUCUAGAGGCAAGAUUUAUGGUGAAUUAGAGAAAUGAGCUUUAAUUGCAAAGGUAAUUUAAUUCAAUUGAUUGAUUAAUUAAAUUUUGGGGAUUUUUCUCUUCAAAUUGUUUUGGAUGAUUACUACAAUUCAAACUAGGUAGAUUCAUUAAAUUCUUAAAGUUAGAUUUGAUGAGAUUGAAUAGUUGCAUUGUGUGAAUCAUUUGAAGAUAAUUUAAGAUGAAUUAAAUAUAUGAUUUGAAUUGAUAUCUUGGAUUAAAUAAUCUAAUUUGAAGAGAAAUUAGAUCUAGACUUAAAGUUACAUCUAAAAUCGGUUUAGAUGACAAUUUAGGUUUUCAAUCUAACUUGAUGAAAAUUAGAUCUCAAUAUCUAUUCACCAUGGAGAUUGUUUUCUAGAAAAUCCUAACUCUGAGAAUUUCAUUUCCUAUUAAUUUUCUUCUAUUUUAUAUUUCAUUGUUCUUCUCAAUUUGAGACCAUUGUUAAAUUGAUUUUUCAUCAUGAAUUUUCAAAUCAAUUUCACUUGAUCACAAUCAUUUCUUCUUCUCACAUUCAAGCCUUAAUUACCAAGAAUAAUCCACCCUAGUGGAUGACACCUAAAAACCACUAUACUAUAGUAGUUUGUACUAAAACCACUUUUUGAUCGGGUACAAGCUACUCUAGAAUAGUGAAUUAGAUUAUAAAUUGUGUUUUGAUGCGGUAAAUCAGAAAAAUCAAGCGAUAAAAAAUGCCACUGCUGCCGAGGAUGGUGCCAAGGUGAUUGAGGUUUUUUUUUUGGUGAGGAUUAACCCUUGUGAUCCACAUCACAAGCUUGGUGAAGUUCUCUUUACCGAUUCUCCACUUUCAUCUUAGUUUUCUUCCAAAUUUCAUUUUUCUUUUUCUUUUUCAUUUUUUUUCUUUUUGUUUUGUUUUGUUUUUUCUUUGUUUGUUAUGUAGGUGAACCCUUGUAUGCUCUAUUAAGAACGAAAUUCUAAGGGAAGGUUGGAAAGAACUAAUUCAUCUACUCAAGUGCUAAAUCUUGGAAUUGCUACAAAUAUAAUGAAACCUCAAGGUGAAGAUCAACAUGGUCCUAAUGAAGAAAAUUUCCAUUUGUAUCAAUCUAUGAGGGACCAUAUGCAUCCGCCGAGAAUGAGUGCACUAUCAUGCAUUGUUCCUCCAUGUGAGAAAAUGAUCAUCCAUCCUUAUUUGGUGCCACUUUUUCCUUAAUUUCAUGGAAUGGAGAAUGAGAAUCCUUACACUCAUAUAAAGGAUUUUGAAGAAGUAUGUCAUACUUUUCAAAAAGGGAUUGCAUCAAUUGAUCUUAUGAGACUUAAAUUGUUUCCUUUCACUCUCAAGGACAAGAAUAAAGUGUAGUUGAAUUCUUUGAGAACUCAAAGUAUCCACUCAUGGCCAAAACUACAAGCCAAAUUUUUUAAGAAAUUUUUUCCAGCUCAUUGUACUAGUGGAUUAAGAAAAUUUCCAAUUUUGUGGCUUUGGAGAAUGGAAUUUUUUUUGCUUGUUGGGAGAGAUAUAUGGCGGUUGUCAAUGCUUGUCCUCAUCAUGGUUUUGACACUUGGAUGUCAGUAAGCUACUUUUAUGAAGGUAUGUCGGCAGUUAUGAAACAAUUGCUAGAAACCAUGUGUGGAGGUGACUUUAUGAGCAAAAGUCCUUAUGAAGCUUUGGAUUUUCUAAACUAUGUGGCAGAAAUAGCUAGAUCAUGGGAUGAACCUCAUGGAAAAGACUCAAGCAAAGCCAAGCCCUAGAACAAUUCUAAAGAAGGAAUGUACACGUACUUUGAAUGAAGAUGUAGACAUGUAAACAAAAAUGGUAGCUUUAUCAAGGAGAUUGGAAGAACUUGAAGCAAGAGAAGCUCAUGAAAUCAAAGUGGUUAAUGAUAUUCCAAUGAAAAUUGUUUAAUGCUCUAUAUGUCAAUCCGAUCAACAUCUAGUGAGUGAAUGCCCCACCAUACCAACUGUUAGUGAAAUGUUUAUGGAACAAGAUAAUGCUAUUAGAUUUGUUAAACACUCCAAUAGUUUUCCAUUUUCAAAUACCUUUAAUUCAAGGUGGAAGAAUCAUCCAAAUCUAUCUUAGAAGAGUGGACAAGGACAAUUUUUUUCUAACAUGCAAACUUCUCAAAAUCAAGUUUCACCAAUAGAACAAGCUAUAGUGAAUUUGAGUAAAGUGAUGGGUGACUUCAUCGGAGUUCAAAAGAAUAUCAAUACUCAAGUAAAUCAAAGGAUAGAUCAUGUGGAGACAUCUUUCAAUAAGAAAAUUGAUAGCUUGAAAACCAAUCUCACACAAAAAAAUUGAUAAUAUGUAGCUUGCUAUUUCUAAACUCACAAGUAUGCAUACGAUGCAAGAAAAAGGAAAAUUCCCUUCACAAUCCAAACAAAAUCCAAGGGGAGUUCAUGAAAUUGGAGAAAAAAAUGAAAAUUUUGCUAAGGUAGAUGAAGUGAAGGCAAUUAUUACCUUAACAGGUGGUAAGCAAGUUGAUCAACUUAUGCCAAAACCAAAAGAGAACAAAGGAGGGGAACAAGAAGAAAAUGUGAGAAAAAUGAAAAGAAGUGAAUGAAGAUGAUAGAUCAAAGGAAGAUGAGAUUGUUAAUGAAGAGGUUAAGAAGAAAGACAAGCUCUUAUCUCCACCUUUUCCAAAAGCUCUUUAAUUAAGGAAAGUGGUAAAUAAUGCAACUGAAAUUUUUGAAGUUCUCAAGCAAGUCAAAGUUAACAUAUCACUUCUAGACAUGAUCAAGCAAGUCCCUCUCUAUGCUGAGUUACUUAAAAAUUUAUGUACAAUGAAGAGGGGGUUGGACAUAAAAAAGAAAGCUUUCUUAAUGGAACAAUGUAAGACUCCAAUAAAAUAUAAAGAUUUGGGGUGUCCUACCAUUUCGGUGAAUAUUGGAGAUAUGUAUGUAGAGAAAGCUCUUCUUGACUUGGGUGCAAGUGUAAAUCUUCUUCCUUAUUCGGUGUACAAGCAAUUGGGGCUAAGGGAACUCAAGCCUACUUCUAUCACAUUAUCUUUGGUGGAUAGCUCAAUUAAAAUUCCAAGAGGAGUGAUUGAAGAUGUAUUGGUUCAAACGGAUAAGUUUUACUAUCCGAUUGAUUUUAUUAUCCUUGAUACGGAGCCAAUAGCAAGUGGACCAAAUCAUGUUCCAAUUAUUAUUGGUAGACCUUUCUUAGCCAUAGCAAAUGCUUUAAUAAAUUGUUGGAAUGAGGUGAUGUAGCUCACCUUUGGGAAUAUGACUCUUAAGCUGAAUAUUUUUCAUCUAUGCAAGAGACAUCCAAAUCAAGAUGAGGAUGAACAAGAAGUUUGCUUGAUUGAUACUCUUAUAGAAGAACAUGUGGAAGCAAUAAUGAAGGAAGAGUUGGAGAAUAGUUACAAAGAAUUUGAAGAAAAUGAACUAGAAGAAAAAAUUGAGGAAGCUAAUGAAAUUGCCUCCAUUAAUCAUUCUAUGGAAUGGAAGGCAAAAGAGAAGCCUUUACCUCUAACCAAUGAUGAAGAAACAAAGAAGAAAGAAUCACCUAAGUUCAAUCUCAAGCCAUUGCCAAAUGAUUUGAAAUAUGCAUAUCUUGAGGAAGAUAGGUAUUCGGUGUUAAUCUCUUCAAAAUUAUCAUACCAACAAGAAAAUACUUUGAUGGAAGUUCGAAGGAAAUGCAAAGAAGCUAUUGGAUGGUCCAUUUCUGAUCAUAAGUGGACAAGUCUUUUGGUAUGCACUCACCACAUUUAUUUGGAGGAAAAUGCUAAGUCAAUUCAUUAACCUCAAAGGUGAUUGAAUCCUCACAUGCAAUAAGUUGUUCGAAAUGAGGUACUUAAGAUGCUAUAAGCUAGAAUUAUCUACUCUAUUUCAGAUAGCACUUGGGUAAGUCCUACUCAAGUUGUGCCUAAAAAGUCGGGAGUGACCGUGAUACAAAAUGAAAAGGGAGAAUCUAUUCUAAUAAGAUUGAUCAUGAGAUGGAGAGUGUGUAUUGACUAUCGAAAGCAGAACGUCGUCAUAAGGAAGGAUCAUUUUCCUCUUUCAUUCAUGGACCAAGUAUUGGAGGAGGUGUCGGGACAUCCUUAUUAUUGUUUUCUUGAUGGCUACUCUGGUUAUUUUUAGAUUGAGAUUGCCUUGGAAGAUCAAGAGAAGAAAAUAUUUACUUUCCCUUUUGGUACCUAUGCAUAUAGGAGGAUGCCAUUUGGUUUAUGCAAUGCUCCUACCACUUUUCAAAGAUGCAUGAUAAGUAUCUUUAGUGAUAUGGUAGAGAGAAUCAUGGAAGUUUUUAUGGAUGAACUUACCAUCUAUGGUGAGGAUUUUGAAGAUUGUCUCUCAAAUUUGAAAAAAAAGAAAAAAACUUCAAAGGUGCAUUGAGAAAAAUUUAGUGCUAAAUUGGGAGAAAUACUACUUUAUGGUAAAAAAGGCAUUGUCUUAGGUCAUUUGUCUCAAGGAAAUGAAUCGAAGUGGAUAAAGCAAAGAUUGAGCUAAUUGUGAAUCUACCACCACCAACAAAUGUUAAAGAAAUUAGGCCAUUUCUUGGUCAUGCUGGUUUUUAUAGACGCUUCAUCAAGGAUUUUUCUAAACUAGCAAGACCAAUGUGUGCCUUACUUGUUAAGGAUGCCAAAUUCAAAUGGGAUGAAAAUUGUCAAAAUUGCUUUGAAGAGUUGAAAAGACUAUUGACUAGUGCACCUAUUGUGAGGAGACCAAAUUAGGAACUUCCUUUUGAAGUUAUUUGUGAUGCAAGUGAUCAAGAAAUGGAAGCAAUUCUAGGGUAAAGAGAUGAAGAGAAACCUUAUGUUAUCUACUAUGCAAGCAAAACUCUUAAUGAGGCACAAAAGAACUACACCACCACUGAAAAAGAGUUGCUUGCAGUUGUCUUUACAUUAGAUAAGUUUAGAGCAUAUCUUGUUGGAGCUCCUAUAAUGAUCUUCACAGAUCAUUCAACUUUGAAAUACUUAGUCAACAAGAAGGACUUUAAAGCAAGGCUAAUUCGAUGGAUUUUACUUCUUCAAGAAUUCAAUCUUGAAAUAAGAGAUAAGAAAGGUGUAGAAAAUGUGGUAGCUGACCAUCUAUCCCAAAUUUUUGUGGAACACAUUCCGAAAAGUCCUCCCAUCAAUGAAGAAUUUCCCGAUGGUGCUCUUUUGAAAGUGGAUACCAAUCCAUGGUAUGCUCAUAUUGCAAAUUAUCUAGUCACCGGAGAACUACCUAAGGAAUGGACUACUCAAGAGAAAAGAUUUUUCUUGUCUAAGGUGCAUGCAUACUAUUGGGAGGAACCAUUUUUGCACAAGUAUUGUGCUGAUCAAAUUAUUAGGAAGUGUGUGCCAGAAGAAGAAAAACAAGGAAUUCUUAUGCAAUGCAAUGCUUAUGCUUGUGGAAGCCAUUUCUCUACUCAAAAGACAGCUUUAAAGCUUCUCCAAUCAGGUUUUUAUUGACUAGCUAUAUUCAAAGAUGCACAUGAAGUUUGCAAGUCUUGUGAUAAGUGUCAAAGGCUUGGGAAAUUGACAAAGAAACACAUGAUGCCACUUAACCCCAUAUUGGUAGUGGAAUUAUUUGAUGUAUGAGGGAUUGAUUUCAUGAGAUCGUUUCCAUCCUGUUUUGGACACUCCUAUAUCUUGUAGGAGUUGACUAUGUGUCAAAGUGAGUGGAAGCAAUAGCUUGUAAGCAUAAUGAUCACAAAGUGGUUGUAAAAUUUCUCAAGGAAAAUAUCUUCACAAUGUUUGGGGUGCUAAAGGCCAUUAUUAGUGAUGGAGGUACUCACUUUUACAAUAAGACAUUCAACAACCUUCUUGCUAGAUAUGGAGUGAAACACAAGGUAGCCAGACCUUACCAUCCACAAACAAGUGGACAAGUGGAGUUAGCUAACCUUGAAAUCAAGAAUAUCCUGAUGAAAGUGGUGAAUGCAAACUGCAAGGAUUGGGCAUUAAGACUCCAUGAUGCACUUUAGGCUUACCAAAUUGCCUUCAAAACAAUUCUUGGAAUGUCACCGUAUAGGUUGGUUUUUGGUAAGGCAUGUCAUCUACUAGUGGAAAUAGAGUAUAAAGCAUGGUAGGCUAUAAAGAAAUUGAAUUUUGAUAUGCAAGGAGUUGGGUUGAAGAGGGUCCUAGACUUGAAUGAGUUAGAGGAAAAGAGAAAUGAAGCCUGCAUGAAUUCAAAAUUUCCAAGGACAAACUCAAGAGAUGUCAUGAUCAAAUUGUCCUUAGGAAAAAGUUUCAAAAGAGACAAAAGGUGCUCCUAUAUGAUUCAAAAUUGCACAUCUUUUUUAGAAAGCUCAAAUCUUGAUGGAAUGGUCCAUACUUGGUUCAUAAGGCGUAUUCGAAUGGAGUUGUUGAAAUUGCUAAUCCAAAGAUUGGGAUAUCUCCAAAGUUAAUGGACAUUGACUUAAACCAUAUAUGGAACCUAUGGUGCAAGAGAAAGAGUAGCUAUACCUCCUUGAACCUUCCAUAAGUUGAGCAUUCAAGGUUUGGUGGGCUUAGUCUUCUAAAAGAUAACUAGCCCAAUGAUCUUGUAAUUCUUUUUCUUUGAAUUUUUCUAUUUUGUUUUUAUGUUGUUUGAAUUUUUUUUAGUCUUUAUGAAUGAACCCUUGUUAACCAUAUCAAUUGUGUUUUGAAGGACUUUUUGGUUGGAUGGAAUGCAUGAGGAAAAAGGAGUUUUAAUGGUCCAUCACCAGUUUGCACAUUCAUGCCAAAAACAGGGGAGUUUUUAUAGUUUUGAAAAUGCAAAACAAUGAGUCUUUAUCCCAGUUCGCAUGAUCAUGCAAAAUUUUGGCAUGACUAUGUGAAACUGAUAAGGAUAGCUGUAGUCUGGACCAUUUUGCAUCAUCAUGCGAAUAUUUCACAUGACUAUGCGAAAGUCAUCUUAAAGACUACAAUAAAAUGAGCACUCUGGACCACUUCGCACACUUAUGCGAGAAUUUUGCAUGUUUGUACCAAUUUUUUUUUUUUAAAUAUGUAGCAAAUAUAAGCCUCUGUUUCAUUUCGCACCAUUAAGUGAAAACAAGCCCUCAUUCCAAAACUCUUCGUCUUCAUCGGACACGAGAAACUGAAGAGGUAGAAGACCAUCAGUCCUUUUUCCCUUUCAUUCACACUCUCUCAUAUCUCUUCCUUGCCCUAAACCACGAUCAAACAUAAGAAAAUAUCAUUAUUCUUGUUUUUUUAUUUCUAAAGAUUUACUUGAGCAUUCUCAGCAUUUCAGGUAUUUGAUUUUUCACUCAUCUCUCUUUGAAAUUGCAAAAUGAAUCCGGAUUGAAAAGUUUGAUUUGCUUUGGGACCUUGUUGUAAUUUUUUGUGAAUUUUGGACAAAUUGAUAUCCUCUAUUCCAGUUAUCAUUCAAUUCAUUAAAUUGUCCACUGUAAUUUUUGGUUCUUUUUUGUUAUAGACGGGGAAUCAAAAACAAAAAUCAAUGGAAAUUAAGGAAGAGUUCAUGGUGAUUAAUGACAGAAAUGGAGAAGACACUGGUCUUGAAUUUCCUUCGGGAUUCUCCAUUUCUGAAAUUCCCAUUUCUGGACAUCCAAACCAAAGGCAUGUCACAAGAUCUUCACUAGAUAAAGGCAAAUCAAAGAUGGUUGUUCCUGAAAAAUUACCGGUGAAGAGAACACAAAGCAUCAAUAUUCAAAAUCCUUCAUCUCUUCCGACAUCCCCUGCUACUCCUUUAGUUCAACAUGUUGUAGUUAAGUCACCUAUUGCUGAAGCCCUUGCUCCUACUCCGGUUACAAAAUCUGCACCUCCAUCGAGCCGACCAAUUCAAUUUCAAUUCAUGAAAACCCUGAAUAAGAAACUAGCCACUGGUGCAAGAGAAGACUGUUCAGGUAGAAAAUUCCAUGAAGAAUCCUACUACGAUUUCAAGGCAUUUGCUGUAUCUCCUCUUCCUAAAUUCUCCAUGGAGUUGUGUCAUCAAUAUUUUUUGGAGCCAUUCAUGGUACCUAGACCAUUCUUUUAUCCUCGCAUAAUUUAGGAAUUUUACCAAACCAUGACUAGCAGAAAAGUCUAUCCUCCUUCAGUGAUCUAUUUCGAAAUCGAUGGGAGACAAGGUAUGUUGAAUAUUGAAAUGGUAGCAAGAGCCUUGGAUAUUCCUCUUACACCUCCAAAUCCAGCUGAGUUUCAACCUAUUACUCAAACUGAAGCUACUAAAAUGGUUCAGAUUGUCUCUCAAAACCAAUCCACCAAUACACAUGCAAUGUUGAAGAGAGAAAUAGAUUCCAAAUUCUGGUUUUUGGAUCAUGUCCUACGCUCCAAUGUUUAUCAUUUCCAACAUGCGAUGAAAAGGUGAGAAGAUAUACUAAUGGCAUUAUUUAGAAUUGUUAGUGGGUAAUGGUGGACACCUAUUGAAUUAUUCAUGGUUGUCCUAUUCUAUUUUGAAGACAAAGUGCAUUUGAAGAGGUUGCAAAGAGCCAAUAAAUAUCCAUUAUUCUUCCCUCGAAUGUUGGGCACCAUCUUGGAGUACUAUGGUUUCCUUACUGAACUUGGAAAAAAAAAAAAAAAACAUCAUUGUAAGGAAGUCUAUACUGUUUCCAGAUGGCAAGGAAGUGUGACCAAAACCAAGUCUACACUAACAAGUGCUUCAUUGACUACUGAUAAUGAACAUCAUUAUGUGUCUCCUCCAAAUUUGAUUCUUAAAGAUUUUGUUGAUAGAGAAGAUACAACCCCAAGACCACUAGUUGCCCCCACACCAGAAGUUUUUUUUUACUUUUCCAAAUAUUGAUGCAGCCGCACAUAUUUUGGCUAGUCUUUCUUCCACACCAAACACAAGUUCUUCAUCUUUUGAUGGUUAUGUACAUAUUUUAGCUGAGGCUUUCAAACAACUCUUAGCUCGUUUGGGCAUGAUUCAAGAAAAUCAAGCAAACAUCCAGCUCACUCAACAUCAACUUGUCCAAAGAGUUGAUGAACUUACCAUGGUUGUCCAAUAAUGGAAAUCUUCUUCUGAGAAGCCAACUAGUGUUCAUGAUGCUACUCCUCCGUCCAUCCCAACUACACAAAAGACUAAUUCUUCACAGUGGGAGUCCACAUUGCCUACCACUAUUGUGACACCUUAAGAGAUCAUCCUCUUUCCCCCGUCUCAUGAUUGAGGAUAGGGAGUGCCCCUCUACUUUUCUUCUUAACUGUCACUUUAUCAUUACAUAUACUCCUUGACUUCCUUCGUGUUUUUUUUUUUGUUAUGAUGAUAGUUUUCACUUUUUGUUUCCUCAUUUCCUACCAUACUUAUAAUUUUAUAUUGUUUUUUUUUUUUUUAAGUUAUAGGAGCUGAAAAACAAUGCUUUGCAGGUACCUUUCCCUUCAUUUCUUUGCAUUUUCUCGAUUAACAUUGAAGACAAUGUUUAGUUUGGUUGGGGGAUGAUAAGAAAGGAAGAGAAAGAGGUUUCUUGUUGAUUUAAAAUUGUAAGAUAUUUUUUUCUUUUGUUUCUUUUGAUUGUGAUAAUUUUUAUUAGCUAGAUUUUUUUAAAACUUAAUUGGUAAUUUUUUUAGAAGAACAUAACACUUAUGUCUGAUGAAUGAGCAUACCUAGCUUGAAAGGAGUUGAUUUGGAAUACCAACUCAUUUGUGUGAUCUUAUAAAAUUUGUUAUGUUGAUUGAAUUUGAUUUGACUUUGAAGUUUUCAUUUUCCCAAGGGUCUUUUCUAAUUGAGUCUUGACACACACUAUGCACUCUAGACCCUUGAUAUAAGAUGAAACACUAGUCUAACCCUAAAACUUGGACCCAAUUGUUUUAGUACUUGAAUCACUUUUAAAUUGAGUUGAGACACCUUAAAAAGAGCCUAAUAAGGCCACCUUAAAAAAAAAUAAAAAAAUCUUAAAAAAAAAAGAUUAUGAAUAAAAAAGGUUGAGUUAUGCUUUCUUUGAAACCUGAGCAAGGUUCGAGGGGUAUAUGGUCCAAAGGUCUUUAAAUCCUAGUGCCUUAAGCCAUUAUGGUUGGGAGUCAUCCACCUCAAUGCUCACUACAUGGGUGAAUCGGUGGAGUAUGAGCUAAAUUGUAGGUGCUAAGUUAUUGGAUCCUAAAUUAUGGAGUUCGAGGUGAAGUUUGAGGAGUUAGUGGCUGAAUUGGUCUUAUAAACUUGGUGCCCUAUGUCUUACGGUUGGGAGUCAUCGAUGAAUCCCUGCUACAUGGACCAUGUACUUAGAGAUACCUUUAGCAUUGCAUUCCUACAAUUAGACCUUUGAAAAAAAGAGUAUAUAUGUAAAGAAAUAAAGAUAGGUGCAUUUUUUACUUAUGAGAGAGUGGUUUUGUUGCUUAAGAUAAAUUGGGCAUGGUUGGGGGGAUGAUUAGUUUUGAAUAGUAUAUCAGGGGGCUAGUUUAAUUUCACUCAAGACUUGUUUGGAAAUAUCAUUUUAGGGGUUGAAAAUGGAUGUGUCUUUGAUACUUUGAUUUGCAUGAUAUCUUUUCUAUUAGAGAUAGUAAAUGUGUUUGAGAUUUUGAUUACACCUAUGGAUGGAGAAGUGUGUUUCAUUAUUGACCAUUUGUGCUAUAGGAUUUUCAAAAACAUUUUCCAAAUGAGUUUAAUUUUUUUUUUUUUUUUAGUAUUUUUUCUCUUUUGUUUUAUUAUACCAUUGCUAAGGGACUAGCAAUGUGUUGGUUGGGGGGUACUACUAAAAAAUAACACAUUUUAAAUAAUAAUUCUCAUGAAUUCCAUACCUUUUGAGUAGUAAUUAUGCCUAAUAUGCCCAAGUAAUACAUUGUUGCCCUCUUAAGAGAUACUAAUGAUUUUUGUGAAGUUUUGGAGAUAUUUCAAGGUGAUUUUUGAAGCAUUGAGUGAUAAAAGAGAAAUGGAAUUGAGGAGGGCAAAUAAUGUGGAUGAUGAGGAAGACUCAAUGCACUUGGACCAAGAUUUGGAGAUGAUUUGGAGGUAGUUGAGGUGGAUUCAAAAGGAGAAAUGGAAGAAAUGACAAAAGAAAGCUUAAAAAUAAAAUAUUUCCAUUUCGCAUGACUAUGCCAAAUGGACUAGAAUGUGGAAUUAUGUUGUAGGCUAAAGGAGAAUUGUCAAGCUGAUUUCUCAUGAUCAUGCGAAAAUUUUGCACAAUCAUGCAAAAUGCUCCAAAAAGCUAUAACUGUAGUUGCUAAAUUUUUUAUUUCGCACAACCAUGUGAAAUUGGCUAAGUUGGUGUGAAAUGGUCAUUUUGUUGUUAAACUCCAAGUUGCUUGAUGAAAAAGUUUCUAGAAGACCUCUUAGAUGAUGCCAAGUGUCCACUUGACCUUGGCUUAUAAAUAGAAACUUGAUUUUCUCAUGACAAAGCUUUUUUUUAGACAUUUCUAAUUGUAGAAUUUUCCAGAUUUUCUCUCAAUAGAUUUCUCUAUUUUUCUUCAUUUUUUCUCAUUUUCUUUCAUUUUCUCACUCGCUAAACAUGCUUUAUGAGACCAAAUCUCCAAGCAUGAGUGGCUAAAUCCUGUUUUCUCAGAGGAAAAAGGAUCUAGAGGCAAUAUCUAUGGUGAAUUAGAGAAAUGAGCUUUAAUUGCAAAGGUAAUUUGAUUCAAUUGAUUGAUUAAUUGAAUUUAGGGGAUUUUUCUCUUCAAAUUGUCUUAAUAAGAUUGAAUAGUUGCAUUGUGUGAAUCAUUGGAAGAUAAUUUAAGAUGAAUUGAAUAUAUGAUUUGAAUUGAUCUCUUGGAUUAAAUAACCUAAUUUGAAGAGAAAUUAGAUCUAGACUUAAAGCUACAUCUAAAAUCGUUUUAGAUGAUAAUUUAGAUUUUCAGUCUAACUUGAUGAAAAUUAGAUCUCAACAUUUAUUCAUCACGGAGAUUGCUUUCUAGAAAGUCCUAACUCCAUGAAUUUCAUUUCCUAUUAAAUUUCUUAUAUUUUACAUUUCAUUGUUCUUUUCAAUUCGAGACCAUUGUUAAAUUGAUUUUUCAUCAUGAAUUUUCAAAUUAAUUUCACUUUAUCACAAUCAUUUAUUCUCCUCUCAUUCAAGCUUUAAUUACCAAGAAUAAUCCAUCCUAGUGGACGACACCUAAAAACCACUAUACUACAGUAGUUUGUACUAAAACCACUUUUUGAUCGGGUACAAGCUACUCUAGAAUAGUGAAUUAGGUUAUAGAUUGUGUUUUGAUGCGAUAAAUCAGAAAAAUCAAGCGAUCAGUACACCCUAAAAUGAAUCUAACAAGCCAAACUUAACUAGGGCUCUGAUGCAAGUAUGUUGGAUUCCUAGAAAUAUCUAGUCUAAGCCUUAGAUCUCAAAAGAGUUGCAUACAUUUCUAGAUUCUAGGCUUAGUGGAAUUAGAAAACCUUUAAAAUUUUGAUUUUAGGUUGGUAUAAAGAAGAACAUGUUAGAAUAAAACCUUUAAAAGCAUGACAUAAUAUAAAAAUAAAUGAAUUUCAUUAUUAUUUAUAUUAAAAUUUUGAUUUCACUUUAAUUAUCCUAUUUAUGUGUUAUCUACAUGGUAUAAACUCUCAUCCAAAGAUGCGCCGUACUUUGAAGACUAGGUAAAGGUGCUUCUUCGAGUACAAAUAGUAAUAAAAACAAUAGAAUACCGUGUUUUAAUUUGUUGUAGAAAUGUAAGAAUGAGUUUAUUGGCCAAUAACAUGAUGCUUAAAUAGAAUAUAUGGAAUGGGUUAUAUGUAAGUUGAUAACAUUGUGUUUUCGAAUCAUGUUUUAGUCGAUUUAUGGUGAUUAGAUAGGUGGGCGGAUUUGUAAACAUUUUUUAAACUUCCAUUUUAUUUAUGGCACAAGUGUGGACCCGCGUUUUUCAUGUGCAUUCCCACUUGACGGUGAGACUUGUUUUUUAUUUAUUUGGCAGAAAUUAUGAUUUUUAGAAAAGACUUGGAGUCACCACUUAUUUUUGUUUUAUUUUUUAAAGGGAAAAGAAAAUAAGAAAGAAAACCCUAUAGGACUCCUUAUUUUUGAAAAGAUAUGUAUGCAAAAAUCAAAUUUGAAUUCAGGGGUCAGGUUACCUAUUGGGAAAGUACGGUGGUGAGCCGUAGCACCCCUCUAAGCUUAUAUGCAUACAGUUUCUACUUAACGAAUAAAGGGAAUUGUGACAAUUAAUUAAUUAAUUAUGGAUACCAAGAAAAAUAAUUAUACAAAUGAGUAUGUAUAAGUCAUGGUGAAAAUCAAUAUAUGCAAAAAUAACGAUAAAAUCUGAUUACAAGAAUGCAUAAAAUAAAUGACAAGAGAAUUAUACAAAAUGAUUUAUUGAACUAAAAAAAAAUCAAAAGAAUUAGUUAUCAAGAAAUUUCAAAGAACUUUGUUAAAAUAUUUUUUGAAUUUAAUGGUUUCAAUUUAUUUUUACUUGCUUUUACCAUAAAGGAAUGAAUUUUUACGAAUUAUUUAGAAAAGAAAAUAAAAAUGUUAUCUACAAAGGAUGUUUUAAUUUAAUUCUAUUUGCAAGCAAAUUAAUUUUUGUUAUUUUUAUAGGAAACAUGACUUUUACAAUUUUAUUUACAAAAAUAUCAAAAUUCAAUCUAAUUUUGUUAACACCAAAAAAAAAAAAAAAAUAUCAAAUGAAUUUAUAUAAAAUUAAUUACAAAAAUGUUUGAACCCCUCUUAUUGUUUGAUUUUAAAAAGAUUUAUUAGAAAAUAUUUUAUCAAAUAAUUAUCCAUGAUUUUAUAAAAAGAUAUUUCAAAUUUAUUACUUACCCUUAAAGAUUUGGAAUUUCUGUAAAAAAAAGUUUACCCAAAUGUAUUAAAAAUAAAAAUAAAUAAAUAAAAAUGAUUUUUGAUAUUAUGUUCACAAAAGCAUUCCAAUUUUGUUCUCUAAUUUGAUUUUUGCUUUCUUUUCCAAGAAUUUAUUUGCUUUAAAAAAAGGAAAUCUACAUUUCAGCAAUUUUAUUUUACUUGUAUAAAAAAGAUUCAUGAAGAAUUUAAAAACAAAUAAAUAAAUAAGUAAAUAAAAAGAUUUUUUUAACUUUAUUUUUUUUAAAAAAAAGGAAUUUUGUCUUAACUACAAGAGGAUUUUGCUUACUUUAUUUUUAAAAUAAUAAAUAAAAAAAUAAAAAUAUAUUUAUUUAUUUUAAAAAAAUUAAUUUAACUAAAGGAAUUUUUCCUUAAAAAUGGAUUUCACACAAGUUUACGUAAAGAAGAAAUUUGAUUAAAAGGAUUUCUUUAUAGACUUAUUUAGAGGAAUUUUCCAUAAACUUUAUUUAAAAAAAAUGACUUUUUUAUUUUUUAUUUUGUAAAAAGAAUAUUAUUCUAAUCAUAAUUUUAUUUAAGGAGGACCUUUAUAAAUUAUUUGGGAAAAGAACCUUUGAAAAAUUAUUUACAAAUAAGUAUCUUGAUUUUUAUUUAAAGAUAAUUUUUGCUUGACUUUUAUUGUGUGUAUAUAUAUAUAUAUGUAUAAAAGAUUGUUUAAAAUUUUAAAAUAAAAUUACUUUAAUAAUAAUAAUAAUAAUAAUAAUAAUAAUAAUAAUUUCAAAAAUGAAUGAUUUUAUUUAAGGUAAAAAAAAAUUUGUUUCACUCAAUUCUUUGUUAAAAAAAAAGGUAAAGGGAAAAUCAAAUAAGAUAAAUAAAUAAAAUAAAAUAAAGUUAAGAAAAUGAUGUAAAGCCUUUGAAUUUUAUUUCAAAUAAAAAGUCAUUUUUCCUUUUUAAUUUUUAAUUUUUAAGUUUCAUUACAGAAAAGCUUUCCAAUUUAUUAAAAAAGAACCAAUAUUUCAAUUUUAUAAAAACAAAUCAUUUCAUUACUUUAUUUUAUAUUAAAAAACAUAUUUAUUAUAAAAUAAUGUGUAGACCCUUUUAUAAACCAAAGGUUUUUCUCUUUUUUUUAGUCCACCCGAAGGAACUAAGCAUUUCAUUUUUGAAGUGGGGAGCUGUUUUCUAGAGGAACCAAGCUACAUGGGACGUGUGGCAAGGAUUACCAACCUACCAUGGUGGUGGUUGGGGUGGUGACAUCUUUGUUGAAGGUUGAGUAGUGAAGCUGGUAGUAGCUUAUGGGAGAAGGAAGAAACAACGGAACGGGUAUGAAACUAAUAGCAAGGUUGCUUAAGGGAAAAGAGAGGAAGUAGGAUAUUUUUUAGAGAGCUGGAGGAGGGGGUCCACAAAAUGGUGACUCCACUGAAGAUAAUUUAAAGGGUCAAACUUAAACUUAAGAUGAGGCAAAUGUGGCGUUUGAUUAGUCGGUUGAUAGAUACCUUCCCUUUGUGCUUCUCUAUGAUUGAAUGAUCAUAGCACAUUGAGGAUUUUGAUGUGGCGAUUUUCUAUGCUUGAUCGCUAUAUCCAUUUGGGGCAUUGAUAUGGUGAUGAUAUUGAUUGAUCCGCUUGCUUGUCUUAGCAUAUUGAUUUUGCUCUAGCCUUGAUUAUCCUGCUCACUUUGACAUGUAUGUUCACUUUGUUGUAUCUCUUAUUUAUCUUAGUGUUGAUUAUCUUGCUUGUAUAUUAUCUUGAUCAUAUUUGAGCAUGCUAUCCUUGUUGCUAUUCAUUUUGAUUAUUGUCAUAUUCUCAUUUAGCUUGUUUGUAGACAUGGAUGAUAUACUUGCGCUCUGAUUGACUGCUUAUUACAUGACUGUUCUUUUCUUGUGUGUUUGCAUGUUGCUUGUCUGUGUGGGUCGCACAUCUAUCCCCUUACCUCCAACCCUCUAGUUUUGGUCAUUUACUUCCUUUUGGUUUAUACAUUUGCAAGUGUGAGGCCUUGUGUGUGCUUGUUUAUCUGACAGAGCUAGUGGUUAGGAGUGGGGUCUAGCGAUGGGCUAUAUUGAUGUUUGGGAGCAUUUUGGAGAAGGUGGACAUAUUGAUGCUGAUUGGAGUUCAAUCUUUGAAGACCUGUAUAGCCUAGAGUUAGGUUUCAUGGAUAUUUGUGUGACCAGUGUGUUUCAUUUUCUACUUUAGCUUCAUAGGAUUUUCGGAUGCACCCACACCACUCACUAUGCACUUUAGUUGACUACUGAGUGCUGAGAGUUGCGAGAGCUUUCACUAUAGGAAACCUCAUUGGGAUGUCGAGGUAGUGCAUGUGUGGAGGUGAUGACCACCUUGCAUGGAAGCGCCCCGUCUCUUCGAAGGCAUGCAGAGGGUUGCGUGCCGCUGGAGGGUAUGAUCGCUUCUGCUAGGGAUCCCUUAAAGUCUACCUCUCUUCUUUUUAGAGCCACCUUGACCUUAUAGGUUGAGCCUUAGAUCCUUCGAUCAGGAUUUCCUUUCCUACACAUGGGUGCAUCUGUGGGCCUUUAGAGCCGGGCUAGUAGUGAUAGGUUUAGUUACCUUCGUAGUAGUCUCUUAUAUAUUUGCUCAGAAUUGGAUAUCAGUUUGAAUACUUCUAGGUUACCUUCCUGCAUAGUUGAUAGACAUUCUUUGUAAAGUUUCCCUUACAUAGUAUCUUAUCUAGUAUUUUCACUAUUGUAGGAGUAUUGAAACGUUAGAUUUGGGUUCAGCUUCUUAGAUCAGAGUUAGGGGUAGAUUGAUUAGAGUACCAAACCAGUCAGACCAGAGAUCAAAUCAGAGGGAUAUGGAUUUGCAGGUGGUUACUGUUGAUCAGUUUGCUUCCGCCAUGGCUUCGAUUCAGGAGGCUAUAGCUGGCCUCUGCCAGAGGAUAGAUGGGCAGUAGGCUCAGCAGGUCCCACCUUAGGAUGGUACAUAGUAUGACCCUACAGUACCACCACCCCUCACCUAGUUAGUCAUCACCACAUGCUAUACCUUUCACUUUGCAUAGUCAGACCGAGGUUGCCCUGCCUCCUAUCAAAUUGCCUAUCCCGGCCUUAGAGGACCCACAUGCACGUAUGGAUAGACUUGAGUAGAGGUUGAGGCAGAUGAGGGCUUCAGAUGGAGCUAUUAUUUGGAAGGAUUUUGAAGGAACACUAGUGGCCAGUUUACUAGCCAAGUUUAGGAUGCCUGAGAUUGAGAGAUACAUAGGCAUUGGCUAUCCUGGCAUCCAUUUGAGGCUUUCCAGUAUGGUUAUGAGGACCCAUGGACUGGAUGAGGCCCAGAUGGUUAUGCUUUCCCUAUGUUCCUGAGUGGUGCGGCACAACGUUAGUUUGUUUCAUUGGAUGUAUCACGCCACCAAACUUGGGAUGAUCUAGCCCAGGAGUUUUUGAGACAAUUUGCAUUUAACACUGUCAUUGAUGUUUCGAGGAAAGAGUUAGGGGCUUUAAGAUAGAGGUCAGAGGAGUCAGUCACCUCAUUUAUCUCCUGCUGGAUGGAGAAGAUUUCAUAGGUUAUUGAUAGGCCAUUGAUUACUACUCAAAAGGUGCUAUUUCAUAGCUUGUAAUUAACUCUUUUAAACACUUUUGAGUAGUAGUUAUUACCUUUUAACCCAAUUAACAUAUUAAGGACCUUUGCAAUCAUUUCUAAUCAAAGUGUGUAAGUUUUGGUGUUUUUGUUAGUAAUUUGAUCACCAAAGCAAUCCGAGAUUGAGGAGAGUUCUCUGGAAUCCAUAGCAAAUCAAUGGAAAGUUCGAAACAUGAAGAACCGAAGCUUUAAAGUCCUUCGCCAUAAGCAAAUCCGGAAUGCAAGGAGGGGAAGCAAACAAGAACCAGCCAUGAAGCAUUCUUAAUGACAGUCAUUUCAUCCACUUUUGGAGCACUUUCUAGAGUUCAAUUUAUGCAUGCUAUAUGUCGUUUUGAAGCUCAGGAAGUCAACAAUCCAAUGCUUCAAACGGUGCACGAUUCGGAGUUGAAACGAAGGAGUUACAGCCAUUGCAAGCAGAUCACUCCAAGCUGAAGGAAGAUUUUUGCACGGCUGCGAAAUCAGCCUUUUGCUGUGAAAAUCUUGUCCUUUUGCUGCGAAAAUUUCGCAGCCAUUUUGCACAGUGCACGAGUGUUCUCUUGAAGCUUCCCGAUAUUUGCGACCGACAUUUUGAGAUUUUUUGCUUUAGAUAUUUGAUGUCUAAAUCCCUAAACUCUCCUUGUAACCCACCUAUCAUAGGAUUCCUUAGUCUUUAAGCAAGAACAAAGGGUAAAUAAACCCAUAUUUAAAGGUUGUAAGUUUCCUCAGAGGACGACGAAAAACAAGGCUUGUACACAGACGCUUUGUAUAGUUUUUGGAAAGAACUAAAAUUGAGAGUUUUUGCUCUACCUUACCUACUUGUUUUGAUUGUUUUAUUCAUCUAAUUUUUCUUACUAGCCAAACAAGCUCUGAGGAAGUUUCCUCAUAGAAUGAGUGGCUCAAAUUUUAGUUCCUUGGAGCUAAGGUUGUCGGGAAAGGUUCCAAGUGCAAGAAUUAGUAGCUUUGUGGUUUCAGCCAUUAAUGAAGAGAAAGUGUGAUCCUUUAAUGAUUUCUAUGUUUUUAGUUAACUUAAAACACCCUCAAUUCACUUGAGCCAACACUUGGUAAGACAAGUGAUCUCUGUCCAUGGAGAUGCACUAGUUUACCUCUUGCGAGCUUUUGGGAAGUGACUUGAAGGUAGGAUUUUCUAGAAUUGCCAACACUUGGUAAGCUUUUGGACUCCAAGGAGACAUCCAUUAGUUAUCUCUUGCGAGCUUGAGAAGGGAAGUCCAAAGUUAAAGAUCACCUUGCAUGGCAAAUGCUAGGUGAGAAGCACGAGCCAUUGCAAGUUGCAUCAGUGAGAGGGAAUUAGAGCUGAAAUCCAUUUAAAGGAUACAUCUGUACAACACCGGUUAGAGAAUUGACUAUAUGUUAAUUCUCUAAUGUGAGGAAAUGAACCAAAUGAUCGGAGCUCUGUUUUUUGCAUAAGAAACCUCCCCUGUGAACCCAAACCUCCAAGGAAUGUUUUUCUUCAUAAGUAAUUUCCAUUACUUUCUUUUUAGUUAACUUGAAACAAAACCUCGUUUAACCAAAAGUUUGUGUUUUAUUUCUUAAGCUAACCUUGAAAUGAAAAAGCACCAAUUUAACUUUGAAUUGGUAUCAGUUGUGAGUUGAAAACCCUUCCUAGAGAACGAUCCUAGAGCCACUAUGCUAUAUUAGCUAAAGCUAUCCUAAUGCAUGGUGAUAUAGGUUAUAAAUUUUGUUGAUUACUCCCUCAAUCAAAGAGCACCAGCUGGACAUGAAUCAGCUGAGACACCAAUUGGGCAUGAAUCAGCCAUCUGAGAGGGAUCAGAUUAGUAUGAUCAUGAGGAGCUUGUAGCCUUGAUUUGCUAGGCACUUGAUGGGAUUUCCUCAUACAUAUUUUGGAUCUUUGGUACAGGCUUUAUACGGUAUAGAGGAAGGCAUAGCUAAAGGAUUAUGGUCCUAGUCUUCCCCUACUGACUCUAAGGGGAAGAAGCCUUUAGGAGGACAAAGAUCAAGAGAUGUUGGUGUUAUCAUUUCAGUAGGGUUGAGACCUCCAAGACGCUAUCAGACAGUUGGGUAGACUUUUGGACUCUACUACCCACCACCACCUCAGUAGUAUAGGCCAUGAGCACCUUCUUAGUCGUAUGAUCAGGCUUACUUGCCUCCCACACUAGCAUUAUCUUAUUAUGCCGCACAUGGCACUUAGGUCAGAACUUUGGAAGUGAGAGUAUGUUAAAACUACAUUGCUCCAAAUUGAAGGUCGAGGUUGGUGUCUCCUUACUAAUGAGAACAUUAAGGUAAUAGUUACAAACAUAUCAUGAACCCUUUUUACUCUAAAACAAGGCUACAUGAGUUACUUGGUUCCUAAUUUUUGUGUGAUUCUAAUACUCUCGUUAUUAGACUUAUUAGAUACACAAUCACAAGUUGAUCAUAAUUCCUUGUUAAAGGUUCUCUCUAUUUACUUUACUCUUGCUAUUAUAGUAUUAUGUAAUGCAUUUUCAUAUGAAAGUUUUUAUUAUGUCAUAUUUAUUUUAAGGGUAGAAUUAUUAGUUUUCAAUAUACAACCACUUCAUACUUAUUGUUUCAAUCUAUGAAGAGUCAUAAAUUUGAUGAUACUUUUGUAACUAAAUUAUAAAAUGUAAAUGUUAAGAUAAUCUUAUACCUAAUUUUACUAUGAUCAUAAUAUCAAUAACAACAAUUUCUUAAUCUCCACUCAUGUGCAAGCAUUUUCUUUCAUUUUUGUUUUCUAAUAUAGGUAGGAGAAUUGGUUAUUGAGCAUUGUGGAAAGGUUAUUUCAUGGAUCAAAGCAAGUGGAAGGUCCCAAGUUUUUAUGUCCCAAGGUAAAAUAUAUAUAUUUAUUAGACAAAUGAUAAACAUCUGAGUCACUCUUUAAGAAUGUUGUACCUUUUUUAUGACUUGAUGCAACAUGUAUAUAUAAUUCUCUUAAUGACAAGUAGUGCAAUGAUGCCAACAAAAAAGAGAAUCUAGCUAGGUUCAAUCUAGCUAGGAUUAAUCUAGAUAGGUUUAUAAACCAUUCAUAGUAAGCUACUUACAAUAGAAAAUAAAAUUGAUGAAAAAUAAGACAUUUGGAAAUUCAGACCAGCUUUGCUCCUUGUGUAAUUCUAAGUCCUUAAAGUAUCCGGUGAUUUCUUCUAUCAUACCAAGUCAUAUUGUGAGACAAUAAUGAAGGAGUGAAUUCUAUGUUUUUAUGUUUACGAUUUUUUGGUUCAAGGACUAAAUGGUUUAUCUUUCAUUGAGAGAUUAAUAAAGAAAUCGUAUAUUAUGAAAAUGUUGUUAAAUAUGAAUUCCUUAUUAUCAAUUAUUAUGUGACUUGUUAUAACUAAAAUUUAUUUAUUUGUUUAUUUAUAGUUGGGAAAAAUCAAUUCUAUGGGGAAGCCAUGCUUGGUACUAUUUUCAAAGGGUUGAGGUAUUCAAGUUAAUGAACUUCAUGGAAAAUAAUUUUUUGGUGAAUAGAAACAACUCUACUAGAGUUCUAAGCACCUUUCAGCUUUAUGAACCUUAUUGUCAUAAAAAUUGAUGGCCUUAUGUUAUCUAAAUGAUAGAGGAGUUAUAGGCAUGAACAGAAAAUGCUGAUUCACUAGGAGUUCUAUGCUUUUCUUGUUUUGAUGCUUAUAGGAGCAUGAACAUAAGUUGAGAAUAGCAAUAAUAUGUUUAUUGUACUAGAUUUGGAACUCUUGUUUAAUGAAGGAUUAACCAACUUUAGUGAAUAAUAAGUGACUUGCUUGUUAUUUGUUGAUUGGAAAUCAUUAACCUCACUUUUAUGAGAUUGAAAAUUCAAUGUACUAGAUUUGGAACUCUUGAUGACUUAAAUUUGCUUGACAACCCUUUUUAACAUUGAUAGUGAAAUACCCUAGAAACAAUAAACACUUGAAAUUGGAAGCAACAACCUUUUGUUAAUGAGGUUAUAUCAUGCUCUGAUGAUUUGAUGUCUUAUGAGAUCCAUCGAUGUUGCCAACGACCUUCUCUGCUCCAAUUUCUAUUGAUUAUAUUUGAUUUAUUAUAUACUCAACAAAGGCAUUAAACUGAAUUGCCAUUAGCAUAUGUUAACAUGAGGAUAGAACUUGAAGCAAUUCAUCAUUAAAAGGGUGAUCUACUUUGAGGAAACUUUUUAUAUAUGUGAAGAGUUGAGAACCUUCAAAAUUGCUCAUAGAGACUAGAAUUUAUUGGCAAAAUGAAUUUUUUUUUAGUUCUUACCAUUAUAAAGUGGCUUGAAUUUUAUGUGAGCUAUUACUGGUACUAAAGGGAUAAGGCCUACCUGUUUUGUGUACAAGUUCAAUUGGGUAUGCCAAACUAGGGUUUAGUAAGAAAGCUUGGAAUACCAAUCUAUUUCUUAGUCAUAAUGUCAUUUUCAGCUUCAUCUUCAAGUGGAGAAGAAAAAAAUAUAGCGACUGGUCUAUUAUAAUUUGGACAACCAUUGACCAGAGAAGAUUAUGUGGAUAGUGAAAUUUAUCUCUGGCGUUAUCCGAACUUAGGGUGGGAAAGAGAUAGUUUGGAUUCAUAAAAGCUUGUAUAUACAAAUAGGCCAUAUCCAUGUUAAAGUCUUUCAGUUACCUUUUUAAAUAUGUAAAGAUAGGUGUAAUCCCGCAUAUUGUGGUUAUAUUUCUCCACAAUUGUAUUCUUCCAUUAACAAAUUUAGUAAGCAAUUACAAUACCCAUAUAACUGGUCGUCUAUUUAUACCUUCCCUUGAUUAUGAUAAACAAGUGUGCAGUGAAUUUCUUCAAUUUGGUUGCUAUCUCUAUGGAUAAUGGUAAGGUAGUAGAGCAAAACAAAAAAUCUAUCAUAUUAUAUCCAAUAAUGAUAUCUCGUUCUUAUGUUUUGCAUAGUAAAGAUUUAUCUAUUUCCAUUCAUUUAGAAUAUAUUAGCAUGCUUCAUUUUCUAAGUUGGUUUUGUAUUUUUUUUUAAUAAAAAUAAUAUUAAUAUUUAUAUUUUAUUAAAAGCUAUUUAUUUAUUUAUUUUUUAUCUAUAAA
rnacentral:lncRNA from 1 species